rnacentral:lncRNA from 1 species
UGUAAGCCCCCCCACCGCACCCGAAUAAUAAAAUCCCCAAAAAUGUCAAUUAAUACUAAUAGCAACAAGUCUAAAUCCGCCCUCCAGCUCCGCCCCAGCUUACAUCUUUCCUUCAUUAUUUUCCUCCUAUUCAUCUUCCCCAAAUCUGUCACCCCAAUCCCCGAAACGACGUCGUCCACUAAAGCUUCGACUCGCGGAAGCAUCCGAGAUUGCACUGAUGUGGGGUCAAGAUCGGAGUGCUCGUUGAACGCCAAAUGCAGGUGGUGCCGCAGCGACACCAUCGAUGACUUCUGCUUCUCCAAAUCUAAUGCCUUGCGGUUGCCCUCCCAAGUCUUCACUUGCGAUUGAAUUUCGGUUGCCAAUUGUUUGAUUUUGGUGAUUAACCGGUUGUUUCGAUUCUUGUCCUUGUUGUUGUUGUUGUAGUAUUUUUCUACCAAAAUUUGGAAUUUCUUCCUUUUUCUGGGGAAAAAAAAAUUCCCUUUGUCCAGUGUUUUUUCGCUUUGAGAUGGAAUUUUUCUGCUUCCUGUUGAACCUUUUUCUUCAAUUCCUCGUUAAUGCAGUUGUAUUGUUCUUCUAGAAAAGGACUCGCUAAUUCGAUUUUUUUUUUUUACUCUGGGCAGUAAAGUUGAAGGCUUUUUGUACUGCCAAUUAGAGAGAGAGAGAGAGAGAGCAAAAAAAAAAAAGAAGGGAAAGAAAGCAAAAAGUUGCAAAUGGGCUUUCAGCCGGAAGUCUGAAAAGUGUUUUUUUUUUUUAAGCUAAAGAGGGUUUGGAAAAGAUGUAGAAAACAGAAGUCUAAGGUAAAACUAAAAAUUUGGAGAUUCGCUUACACAAUGAAGCUGCUUUUGCAAUUCAACUCUAAACUCUGAAGAACAGGAAAACAGAAGUCUAAGGUGAAACUAAAAUUCUGAGUUUGUAAACUGUGCUAUUCUGCUGUUCUGUUUCUUAAUUAAUGCAGUUGAACGAAGUAUAUGUUCGACAACGUAUGCUCUGGAAACAAAGACUAAGAUGGAAAAAAUAAAUACUAACAUUUCUACUUCUUUGUCAUGUCCCUCCUGAGAAUUGAGAUACUACAUAAUUUUUGACAGCAUCUCUAGUGUCCUCAACUUCAUCCAACUUCUCAAAAAACUGAAUUAACUUCUUCAGCUCCCCAUCUCCAAGAUCAUCAAUAAACGGGAGAAUCGGCACGGCAUUAUCAGGCUGAAAAACAUACGAAUUCGGAUUAUCAUCAACAAUCACAACCCUUUUCAAAUCCCUUCCCAGCUCAGACAAAUCUUUCACAAACUUCCCAUCCAGUUCUUUGCAGGAAUCUCGGUACAAUCUGUGUGAAAUCAAACCCUUUCCAUCAAUUCUGUCGAGCACUUGGGAAGCAUACUCCUCAAUUCCAGCUGUGAACACCACAAUCUCAAAUUUAUUUCUCAGGAACUCCAAAAAUUCUUCCACAAAUGGCCUCUUUAACACGAAGAAAUCCACUCUUUCUCCAUCUAUCAUCGGCCUAACUAUGAAAUCAUACUUUUCUGGAGCAGGGCCCGGCUGGGAAUGCACCAAAGUCUCGUCCAAAUCAAGAAAGACAGUCUUUUUCUCUGGCGAAACCAGUGGUGGAAGCGCAGAACUUUUUUCGUCAUCAAACAGAGCCCUUCUGAUGCUAUUUUUGGGAUCUUCAGAACCCUUUUGAAGUAACUGAUACCCCCAUUUUCUUGGGCUCUUCUUCUUAAUUGGGGUCGCAAUGCACGCUAAUUUGGAGAAAAUCUUGAUGAGGCGGCGGUGGCAAGUGUAAAUGGAUUUGUUAAUCGAAGCAACCACCACUGAAGCAGUGGCGGAGGCAUUCUUUACGGGUGAUUUUUUCCGGCGUUGGUGGCUGUGGUGACGGUGGCCAGGACUUUUGAUGGACUUUGUUGGGGUUUUCUUCACAAUCUUGGACACCAUUUUUGUUGGAUCCAGAAAUCAAGACGAAAGGGGAAAGGAAGAGUGGUUAAUUGAUGCGGUUUUUAGUGGGGGAAAGGUGUAUAUGGGGAAACGAGGAGAGAAUAGAGUGGGGAGUUUUUAAAAUUUUGCCGUUGCAACGGUCGAAUUAGUCCGUCCAGUCCAGGUUUGAUUGGAUAUCUAAAAGCAUAAAAGUAAAAAAGUACGUGCACGUUGCUCAAAACAGCAGGCUGAAGCCAUCCAAAUUUCAAAACAAUAUUAUAUGAAGGAAAAAAGAGAUGAGAAAAGAAGAGCACGAACUAAAUACAUUUACAUUCGAACAUUAUAAGAUGUUAGUACUCCAGGAGUCAAGUACUUAGUUCAAAAUCAUUUGCCGGGAAUGGAUAACUUUUGGAUAUAGACUAGUGUUGUUUAAAAAAAAAAAUAGAUGAAGUAGAAGAAGGAAAUAGAAUAUUCCCUUAACACGUUUUAUGACUAUUUUUUCGCAGCAACAGAUCUUCUGUUACACAAUGGGUGUAACAUUCAUGUUAUACAAUAGGUGUAACAUCACUGGAUAUGUUGACACUUAUCAUCUUUAAAUUAUGGAUUAAUCUUUUUUACACCGACAUUGUAUACACUGUCGGUAUCAAAUAAAUGAUAAUUAUGCAAAAUUUGAAUUUGAAAUUCAACUUUUGCACACAUGUCAUGAAUCCAACAAUGAUAAUGUAUACAUUAUCAGUGUAUAUAAGAUUUACUCUUAAAUUAUACGCUAAUUAAGUUAAAAUCUUAAAAAGAACAAACGUUAGUGUGUCAACACGUGCUGCACAUUAGUAUGUUUUGGGCUUUGAGACGCAAGUGAGCCAAACCAAACUACCCAAGUCAUACAACAUGAACUUUGUGGCCAGGCCCAAGCAUUAGUGUAGGAAAAGGUCUUUUGGACUUGCUGCUGCUGAUCCCAGGACGUUUCAGUUUUCUAAUUUUGUUUCAGGUUCAGUUUGAUGCAACACUUCUCACUGAAAAAAGAUCAAAAUCUACAGAAAAAAAAAAAGAAAGAAAAAAAAUCAUUCUGAUUAACCAACCCAGUGAACACUCACAAGCCAUGAAACCCUGAAUACUCAGCCAUAUUUUAUGAACCGAGCUCAUUCAAUACAAAAUAAUCUCAACAAAGUAAAGUUAAUUUGUUUCUAUACAGUAGUGGUAUUGGCACAAUUUUACAAUUCUUACACAAACACCUUAACAUCUGUGCCAUACAAUAUUGGUUAAGCAGAAUGUCGAGAAGUAUGCGCCAUGAACUAACGUAGUCAUUAUUAUAGGCAAAGGCACACAAAGUUAAGAAUAAGUAAAGUUCUUAAUUGUGAAGCAAUUUUCUUCUGAGUUGUGGAAAAAAGUAAAAGUCGAAGGGGGGGGGGGGGGCUCAUCUCAUUGCCUGCCACUUCGAACAUUAAAGCAACCGCCAAAUCUUUCUGAGCUCCAUGAAUUAGGGAAGGAAAACAUCGCAAACUAAUAUUCCACAAGGUGGAACGAGCAAAAACAUCAUUCCAUUUGGCUUUGAACCUAAGACCUUUGAUCCAACGAGAAAUUAACCAAUCUGAAACGUAAUAAUAAGCAUAUCUUCUGUCUCUAAAGUUAAGACGCUUUUCAAGUAUUCCUCUAAAUAACCAUACUGUUGGAAAACACUCACUGGAGUCUGGAGGAAUAGCCUCCGUGUGAAAAUGGCAGAAUAUUGGGAGCAGAUAAAGACUUGAAGUAUGCUAAUGACUCAGAAAGACAUGCAAGUGGGAUCAGUAAAUAAAGUUGAUAGAUAAUGGAAGACCUGAAGUACAAAAAGUUAGUACUAGUUAAUAUUGAUCUAAAAUAAUUUUGACUGAUCUAAAACAUCCACCAAAUAGUUUGGGAGUUGGGGACUUGGGGCUGAGUUGAGUUGCAUUUUGCAUGCCAGUUGAAUUAGGGUUGCAUGCUCGAUUUGGUUGAAAUCAUCAUUGCUAUAUGUUGGAGGGCUUUAUGACAUUUCUUGCUCUUUUUUGUUGGUAGAGUUUACCUUUUCUAGAUGGGUUUUUUUUUUUCCUUUUUUUUUUUGGUAAGACCUUUUCUAGAUGGUUAACAAACGCGUAGUACUUGUCAAUUUCAACCUCUCUUUUCCCCCCUCCUUGAAGAAUAAACUACUGUUAAAUCCCAUGAUUCAAUUUUUUUUUUCUAAAAAAACUCAUGCACGAGUUUUUUAGGUAAAAAUGAUAUCAUCUAUGAUGUGAAAAAUCUUGACAACAUUUAUAUGCUAAAUGAAAUGGUGAAGUAUACCAAUUACACAACUCUAGAAUAGACCUUUGAUCUCGUAGGAAGUUAAAAAUAAAAUGGAGCUUGAAGUUAUCAUUUAUUGUAUAGAUAUUCUAUAAAAAAAUAAAAAAAAAAAUAUCGAAACAUAGUUUUACUAAAUAGAUAAAGUGAUUUAAAAAGGGAAAGUACGAUUACAUUAAACAACUUAAUAGGCGAAACAAAUAUCAAAUUAAUAACUUAUUACAUUUCUUAAUAAUGCCAUACGUUAUGAAAUUAGAGGCUGUGAUUUGUCCUAAAAUAGUCAAAAUGUCCGCAGACGCAAGCACCUAAGUGAUUCCAAAAUGUACGGCCACUUUGCCGUCAACGUACGCCAACUUAUCGGUCACCCUGACAGAUUUUAAAUGUGGAUUCUUCUUGGUUUCACACCACUCUUUCUCGCUAACAAUUCCCAUUUUCAUUAGACCUUUGGUUCAUUAAAAGCGAGCAUACAAGUUCAACAUGGUUACAAAUUUUUGGAUACAAUUGAAAAGAAAAAAGCUAUAUUCACACAUGGGCAAGAUGGCUAGGAUAUGUAUUUACCAUUGGGAAUGAUAUGAGGUGUAGAUUAGAACUAAACAAGCAUGCAUAUUUAACAACCGCUAAUAAAACAUUAUUAAAUAAGUCUAAGUUACCUAUUGAUUGAGAAUCAAUCAAAAUUGUAUGAUUUUGGACUUUUCUUCUCUCUACGUACUGCUUCAUAGCGCAGCAUUGUAGCUUCAAGGAUGAUUUUUUUUUUUUUUUAAUUCAUGCAUGGAAUUUGGGGUUUGGGUGAGCGCAGGUAUAAUUCAUGGUCAAAUGAGGUCAACUCGAUCUGCAGCGUAAAAGGUUUGAAAUGAGUAGUCCAAAUCGAACAAUUAGCAUUUGGCUUUGAUUUAGACCGUCAAUUGCAUAGUACAGCCAUGAUUUAGACCAUAAGCAUAAGGUUGUAAACAAAUUGAAUUUUUAGCGAGCAAUUUUAACUCGACUCAUUAAGGGUUCGACUUAAUUUCAAUUUUUAACGAACAUGAACUCAAAUUUAAACAAGAAUAGGAUUCGAUUAAAUUGAGUAUCGAAUCGAAUUUGAACUUAUAUAUAUUCGCUCAUUAAGGUUUGAUUAGGCUCGAUUAACUUUUUAUAUAAUAUAUUUAUUGAUAUUUCAUAUAAAAGUACACAUUAUUUUAUUAUAUUAAUAUUAUAUAUGUAUUAUUUAUAUAAUUACUAAAAAUUUAAAUAAAAAUUCAAGUUAAACUUUAGAAUAUUAACUGUUAAAUUGAAUAGAAUUCGAGUUGAAAUUUAAAAUUUCGAAUCAGCUGAUGGUUCACAUGUUUGAUUCGAUUCAAUUUGUUUACUAGACCCGUUCAACCAUGCACAUGCUGGGACAAACUUUUCAAAGUUUGUGGCCCAUUCCCAGCCAUUUUGUCUCCUACUAAGCCCUAUACAGGACCCCUGACCCGAUCGUUGAAAUAUAAACUUAGAUAUAAUUUCCUUCGAUGUUCUCAUGCACAAUAGAGGAUAAACCUGAAUUUGACUCGUAUUUGCAUUCUUGUGUGUGUGAAUAAAAAAUAUAGGAACAAACUUUUCUUCAAAAUUUUCUCCUAGGCUUCGAAACUGAUGCACAAAAUUCACAAUCUCGAACAAAUUCUGGUACUGGAAAAAAAAAAAAAGAACAAAUUCUGGUAAGAAAUAUUUCAUAUUCUGCUCUUUGGUUACUUCAUAGUAGCCAUCAGAUUCUUCCUCAAGUCAGGUGUCGUACAUGUUGUAUGUGAUUAAUCAGUAUUCACUUGGAAAAGGCAUCAAGAACACACACACACACACACACACACAGAUAUAUAUAUAUAUAUAUAUAUAUAUAUCUCUUUUUAAUUUGAGUCUUCUAAUACAAUUAUAGCUAACUGGCUAACAAUUUUUUUUAAAAAAAACACAAUUGAUUAAUUAACAAUAUGUUAAAAUCCAGCAUAAUUGGGAUUAACAACACAGUGGAAUAUAUUUUUGGGACUUCUAAGUAUUUGAUAACAAGCCUAUGCACUAUGACAUUUCGGGUGUGGUUUUAAUUUAUCAGCCGCAAAAGGGCAGAAAUAUUGAACUAGAUAGAAAGACGUGAUCAUUGCACUCAAGAAAUGUAGUUAAUUGUACAAAAAAAAAAGUAUUACACUGGAGAAACAAUACUGCAAUCGAUAGAGAUAAUCAUUGUAGUUCGAGACUUUAAAAGAAAGCAAUUUUAUACUUAGGACAAAAACUGUUUUUUUUUUUUUUGGGGAAAAUUUGGAGAAUUGGAAUAGGAAGACUGAAAGUUCAUACGAAGGGUAUAAGUUUUGAGAAAUUUGCGAAUAGGGUAUCAGUUACUAUUCAUAAAUUAAAAUACCUAGUAAAUUAUCGCUAAAUUACUAAUUACGUUCGCAAUAAAGUGCGCUUUAUUGAAUAGAAAUACGAAUAGAAAUACUUUUCAUGAACUUUGUGGCCAGGCCCAAGCUUAUAGUGUAGAAAAAUUCAUUUGGGCUUUGCUGUUGCAGAUCCCAGGAUACUUCCAUUUUCUAAUAUUCUUUCUUUCUUUUUUUUUGAUAAGAUUUUUCUAAUAUUCUUUCAGUUUUGAGUAGUAGUGAAACACUUUUCACUAACAAAAAGACGACGGAAAUUGGAGUGUUUAGUUUAUUACUUCACAUCUCCAUCAAAAUGGCUAACAUAAUGGAGUUGAUAAUAUUUUGUAAUAAUACCGAGCUCAUUCAACUAAAAUAAUCUCAACAGAGUUGGUUUCUAUACAGUAUUGGCACAAGAGAAUUCAUACACAGACAUUUUAACAUCUGUGCUGCAUAUUUGUUAUGUCGAAUUUCGAGAGACUUAUUCGAAAAUGUACCAUAAACUGUAAAAUUUCUUUCAUGCCAAGACUAUUCGAAACCAUUAGUAAUGAAUAUUAAUGAGCAUAAACUUGAAUAGAAGUCUACAAACUAUAAUUAGCAGUUACUAAUUGCACGAGCAAUUGGUUACAGUUAAUGUAGUCAUUAUUACAGGCAAAGGCACACAAAGACCAUGAUUAUUCUUAAUUAAACAGUAAAGUACAACAAAAGGUAAUUAUUCGGGUUGACUUAGUGGUUAGAUGGGGGGUUCUUCGAGUUCUCUCUACUGUUGGAUUCAGAGUUCAAAUCCUAAAACUAGCAAUUGGGAAUUGAAAAGAUAAGAGGGAUGUGGGGAGAGAAGGUAGGGUUCAAAAAAUAAGUACGACAAAAGGUGAAGCAAUUUUCUUGUUAGUUGUGGAAAAGUAAAACCCACGGGGGCCAUUGCCUGCCACUUAGAAUAUUGAAGCAACCAUUAAAUCUGAGCUCCAUGUAAUCGGGGAGGAGAUUAUUUUGGUCUUAUCAUAAGCCUGUAUACUACAGUCUACAAACGAAUUUUCAUACAAGCCUCAAAUUUUCUAGUAAUAAUUAAAAUGAGCAUUAGCACUCCGUUUGGCUUUGAACCGAAGGCCUCUAAUUGAACAAGAAAUUGAUUAAUCUGAAACAUUAUGAACAAUCUUCUGUCUCUGAAGUUCAAAGGCUUUUCAAGUCUUCCUCCAAAGAGCCAUACAAUUUCCAUUUUCCAAUCAUACUCACUGGAGGAAAACCGGUGUGAAAACGCCAGAUUAGAAGAAUAUUUGGAACAGUUAAAGUUUCAAUGUUGCUAAUGACUCAGAAAGACAUGCAAGUGGGAUCAGUAAAUAAAGUUCAUAGAUAGUUGAAGACAUGAAGUAGAAAAGGUUAGUAAAGAUUGCUAAUUUUGACUGAUUAGAGGGUCCAAAAGAUAUGCUAAAUAGUAAAUAGUGGGCGGUUGGGGUUGAGGAAUUGAGUUGGGUUUUGCAUGCCAGUUGAAUUAGGGUGUCAUGCGCAAUUCAGUUGAAAUCAUCAUUGCUAUGCAUAUAUAUUGGGAGGAUUAUUUGGUUAUAAUGGUGACAGUCUUGAGCUUUAUGACAUUUGUUGCUCUUUAAUUUGUUGUUGUUAGUGUCUUUAUCUUUUCUAGACGGUUAACUUGCAGUGCUUGUCAAGUUCAAGCUCUUUCUUUCUUUUUUUUUUUUUCAACUUUUUGUGAAAGUUCUUUCUGAGGAAUAAACUAUUAAACGUCAUUAUUCCAUAAGAUAGACUCAUGCAAGAGAAAAAAACAUUUUUUUUUCCCUAAAUUGACAUUUUCUAUAAUGUGAAAAAUCUUGAAAAAGUAAGUAUACUAAAAGAAUUGGUGAAGUAUGCUGAUAAAAGUGCUAUUCAACUGCAAUAUAGACCUUUCAUCUCAUAUCAUAAAUAUAAAAAAACAAAAAAUUUUUUUUAUUGAAGUAUACUUAUCGUAUGUAUAUUUGUAGAAUUUAAAAGUCCUUCGAAACAUAUUUUACUAAUAAAUUUUACAAAUUAAAGAUUUACAAAUAGAUAAAAAGAUUUGAAGAGGAAAACAGUACAUGCUAAACAACAAAAUAGGGAUUACAAAUAUCGAAUUAUUAACUUACAUUUCCUAGUAGUGCGGCGUCACACCUUAGGAAAUUGAACAGAAAACUACUUGUAAUAUUUAAUUCCAAACGUAUUGGAUGUAAUAUAAUUCAUUGAGACCAAAAAAAGGAAACUGAAUUUCAUACCACAGAAAAAAAAGUGCACAUUUACCAAAAAAAGAAAAGAAAAAAAAAAUCAGGGUCUACAUGAUCAAUAGCCUCGAUUAAUACAUUGAUAUGUUUGUACUCCUUUUAUUAUUACCUUUGAUAAAUAAAUUACCAGUUUCUAUGGAAUACUGUGGUUGCAUUUUAUUUACCCUCCAAAAUAGUAAAACGUCCAAUUUACUACUACAAGAAAUGGAUAAUGAUUAUAAUUAGAGGCUGCGUGAAUUGUCUUAAAAUGGUCAAAAUUUCUGCAGGCAGACACAGCUUCUAAAGGCCAUUCAAAAAGGUGCAACUUCGCCGUCGACGGCUACUUCGGGAUCACGGAAUCCUUGAGAUAGCCCGGCCACCUCUAAAGCAGAAAUCGAUGUGAAUUGAUCUUUCAUUGGUUUCACACCUUCACAACGAACAGGUCAACUAAAGUACAGUUCAUGCACUAAUGCUUACAAUCUUUGGAUGCAAUUGUAAGGAAAGAGCUAAAUUCACACUUGGGGAAUUAAAGGGGUAACUUUGCAUGCACUAAUGGUUAGAUUGUUAAUUAUCAUUAAGAACAAUAUAAAAUUGUAGAUUGAAAAUGAACAAGCCUGCAUUUAACAAAAGGGCUAACAAAACAUUGCUUAGUAAUUAAUUAAUUUUCAGUUAUGCAGUGAUUGAGAGUUUUAAUCACACCACACCAAGACGUGUUAUUUUUAGACAUCUUGAAAGUUUGAUGUACUUUCAGAAUUGUAUGAUUUCGGACAUGUCUUUUUGUCUUAGGGUAGAAUUGAUGGUCCAAUAAAAUCAGUCCAUCUGAACUUUGAAGCAUAUAACACGUUUAAAAUGAAUAAACCCAAAUUAAGCUGAUGUGAUUGCAUAACACGGUUUUCAAAAGGGAAAUGCUAAUUGCAUUCUCCUUUUUAUUAAUCUAUCGCACUCUAUUAUCAUUUUUACCGUAUAAUCUUUAUACAUUAAAUUUUAUGAUAGAAUAAAUGAUGGAAAUGCAAUUAAUAUUUUGCUUUUCAGCAUUGUUCAUUCAAUGUUUUAGUUGCGAGAGCAACUGCUCCGAUACUAAUUCCAUUUAAGCAUACACGUGGCUGUGACAAUCUUUUCAAAGUUUGAGGCCCAUUGGCAGCCAUUAUUUCUCCUGCAAAGUCCUAAUGCAAGACAUUUGACCCGACCGCAGACUGGAUAUGGAUAGGGAUGGCAACGGGGAGGGGACCCCUCCCCCAUCCCUCACCGCUGCCUACAAAUUCUCCCCGGCCCCGCCCCAUCCCCCGUCCCUGCCCCGCUCCGCCCCGCUUCCCCCGCGGGUGCCCCGCGAGACUAAUAAAAAUUUGUUAUAUAAUUUUAUUAUGGUUAAAUUUUAACAAAUAAUCAAGUAUUAAAAUAUUAACACAUCAUCAAAUUAUUAUUCAUUAUAAUUUUACAAUUGAAACUUAUAAAAACAAUCAAACAAAAAAUAUUUGAAUACAAUCCAACAUGAUGAAAUAAAUAUAACUAAAGUAGUCAAGUUUUCACUUUUGGUACAAAUACAAUCACUAAUUAAUUAUUGUGCUUGUGUUUUUUUUAAGAAAAAAAUAUUAUUGUAUUAAGUGUAAUUAAGGAUUUAGUAUAAAUGUAUUAGUAAAUUUAGUAUAACCAAUUAAUAAUUUGUAUUAGUACACAUAUAUAAUUAUUAGUAUAAUUAAUAAUAUCAAUUAUAUUAUAUAUACUAAUAGACAUUAUAUAAUACAUAUAACUAAUAAUAUCAUUAUCAUAAGUUUGUAAUUAAUUAAAUUAUAUAUUAUAUAUAAUUAUAUAUAUAUUUAUUUUUUUAAAGCAGGCCCCGUUUCUAAGCGGGGGGAAAAAAUAUCCUUGUUUGGAUUGCUUGUUUCCGUCGGAAAAUAUUGUCGUUUUCCGUGAUCACAUUUCCCUAUCACCUUUUUUCCUCACAUAUAUCAAAUCGUUACAGUAAUUUUUUCAUGAAAAAUGACGAAAAAUGCAACCCAAACACAACACCCCCGCCUCACCCCCUGCCCCAUUAACCUCCCGCAGGGCGGGUACCCGCCCCCAUUGCCAUCCAUAGAUAUGGACAUUCAGCAGAUCUGGUUCAGGCGCUCAACAAUUCCUAUUUACCAGCGCAUAAAUCGGCAUAAUUGAUCUAUAUACUAAAAGAGUAAACAUGUAAAGUUUAAAUACUGUAACAUAUAGACUAGUGUAGAAAAGCAAAUGUUUUAGUCUAUCCAUGUUUUGAGAACUACUUAAUUUCCAAAUUCAAUAAAAAAAAAAGUUACUUUAAAAAGGGCUCAAUCUAGAGGGUGAAGUAAUGCGUAAUACUAUUGUUGUGAAGUUAAGGACAGGUUAGUAUGCGUUUUGCUCAACUACACCGACGCAUUUGUAUUUCAUUUGCAAUAUAUUUAUUAUAUACUGACUAGCAAAAAAACCCUGGAUUAAGCAAGCAAGCUACAAGUCACAAAGUCAACUUAAUUUUUGCAAGAUUUUUGGGAGAAUUAAUGUUAACCUUAAAGAUUCUAAGCUUGCAGUCUAAUUGGCAGGCUUUCUUGCUUUGCUAAGGUUUUUUCUUCUACAUAAAUAGCCACAACAAACAACCUAACCACACAAAGUCAGCUUAAUAUAUGCAAGUUUUCCGGGAGAAUAUUAACCUUAAUAUAUUGAGCUCGCAUGCAGAUUAAUUGGUAGACUUUUGUUGCUUUUUUUGGGUUUUCUCUUCUUUGUGCACGGCAACUACAAACAACCUAACCACCAGAUUAAGAAAGGCGUUCGUUGUCUAAGCUUUUAAGGAACAGCAGUUGAUCACCAACCAUCUCAGGGAACAGCAGUUGAAGCAUAUUUUUCUUUUGAAAUCAAUAAAAUCAUUAACGUUAGGGAUUACAACGCUCGAAUUUAGCUGGUGAAGACGGCUUUUGUGUUGAUGUGCCUAUGGUCUAUUUCGGCAGUAGAAUAUAUAUAUAUAUUUUUGGGGACAGAAGAAUUACUCGUGAAUACCUUAUUCUGUAUGUUUCAUCGAAACAACCUUAAACCCAUCAAGCAAUUUUGUGAAAGCGCAUUCCCAACUAAAUAAACCAAUGAAGAGUUAUUUCAUAAUAAGAGAUAGUAAUUGCUGGCAAGGACAAAACAAUAGUGUUCCAUUUAUUCUUCAUCUCCACUAGCCGAUAGAGAAAAAGAAGAAGACUUGUUUUUCCCUUUUUUGUAUUUUUGUGGGAGAAACAAACAAUAUUAAUGCUAUUAUGGAGAUGAAGAGUAGCUGAAAAUUCUCCAGUGAGGCUUCCAAGUUAAUUUAAUAUUAUUAGGUCAAAAUCAGUGUCAUUGAGCCUAAUUACCACAAAUCUGCCAGAACGGAAGGAGCCGCCUAUGCAAAAAUUCCUACUCCAUUUGAUAGGACAGCAAAACGAAUUACAGGACUUGAUUUGGACGGAGGAAUUUGAUAAAAGAUUUGAAAUCUGUUAAAAUCGCCCUAGUUGUUUUGAUUGCUUAAUAAGGAUUUGGGCUUGUAAUAUGUCAACUACUAAAAUAUAUUUUAAAUACUAAAAUAAUUAAUAAUUUAUAAAUUUAAAUAUUUUCUAAAUAAUGUAAACAAUUAGUGAAAUUCGAGAGAAUUUUAAAUCUGUCGUCAAAUCCUUCGAUCCAAAUGCAGUAUCCCACAGAUCCUUUGUACCGGAUUUAACGUAUCAUUCUAGAUGCUUGUCUAUAUGUUUUUUCAUUGUUUUCUUUUGGGAGAAGUAAAAUCGAUUAUUUCAAGCACAAAUGAUUCGUACAACUAACAUGGAUAUAAAGCUAAAAUAAGAGAGCGUGUCAGAUUAAAAGCCAACUUCUGAAGUUAUGUCUAAAAGUGAUCAGCACAUAAAGACAAUUAGAUUCUUUCAAUUUAAAUGGAGGAUCAAGAUGCCCGUUUUGCACCAUAAUAAAUAAUAGGGUAGUUUAUAUUUGCCCUGGUCAAUGAAAUCAGAAGUAACCAGUAUCUGGUUGAUUGAGCCAUGUGGGCAAGAGUUAUUUGUGUUAAAUUUUAACUUUUUGGUCAUAUUCUUUUCCUCCUUGUGCUCCAAUUCAAAUGUCGUAUGAAGAUUGACUAAUAAAAAAAUUCCCAAAUGAAGUUGACUCUUCAAGAUGGUAUGCUUGAAAAGUUCUAUAUAUAUAUAUAUAGUUAUAAUUUUCAAAUAGUAGACAUUAGGAACAGAUAUACGUACAAAUCAUGAAGAAGACCAAAAUCCUAAUACAUCAAGGACACGGUAAGCACAUUAGCUAAUACAAUAUCUGUAUGGUAGUUAAAGUACAAAAUAUGAAACAAAAGGAAAGUUCAAUAUGUUCAAAACGUUAGUUAGAAAGACGUGUAAAUAAAUGUCAAGAUUAAAGUGCACCAAUGAAAUUAACCCAUUAGUCCCGAAGUUUCGUUGAAUCAAGAAACCUUUGGUAAAAAGCUGUUGAAAAUUCCAAAUUAAGUAUUAAUGCACUAUUAUGGGACAAAUAAACUUCACCAGAAUAUGAAAGCAAAAUGGACUUUUCCUUUACUCUUUCCACUUUUCCUUUUUAGAGUUAAGGGAAGAGUAAUAGAUAAGUGGCAAAUCUAUAAACCAAGUGAAUCCAAAGAGAAGACUAGUACUCCCUCCGUUUUAUUUUGAUAGCCUUGUUUUUUAUUUUUAUCUUUUUCAAAUUAUAGCAUACUUUCUAAUUUAAGAAUUUGACUUUUAACUUUUGUAAAAUGUGAUUGUUUAAUAUGUUUUUUUAUCAGUGAAUAUAACCAAUCUUACAUAAUAAUUGCUUUAAUUCAUACCUUGAACAGUACAACAUUCUAUUGAAAUUGUUGUUGGGUAAAGAUAUAGUGAUUGGUCAUAUUAUUAAUAUGAGGGUAUUUUAGAAAAGUGUAGACUUUUUUUUUACAAAAUUAACUACUUUUUCUUAAAUUACAGAGAAAAGAAUUAAGAUUAUUAAAGUGGAACGGAGAAGGUACUGUAUUCAAAGAAGACUAGUAUUAUACUAGUAUAUCUCCUCUUCUUGCUGGGAGUUGUCUACAAACAUCCAACUGCAUGCAAUAAGAGCAUUGAUGAGCCAAUUUAUUUUGAAACUUGGAAAAUAUAUUUUGUUCUCAGAAAUAAAUGGCUGUAAUAGAAGAUAACUUCACAUUCAUAUUUUUCUGUAUUUCCGGUGGGUUGUUGAGGCAGCCAUCAAUGCCAUUUUCUGUUCAUGGAUUAAAUAAGCCAUCACACUUUUCCACGAGAUCUACAAAGACAGAUAAAUAUAAGUAUAUAACCCAUGACAAAAACCAAAAAAUAAAUAAAUAAAUAAAGACACUUAGCAGUAAUAAAUAAAAUAAAUAAUUCAACCCAGAAGAUAAUAAAACUCCUGGAUCCAAACAGAGUCCAAACUUGAGAAAAUUUCUAGUCAAAUGCAUUGAUCUAUCCGACAAGUCAUGGAAGAACUCUCUCAGUCUCUCUCUCUCUCCCUCCCUCACAUACAACACGAACAAACUGCAAUAAAAACGCAGAAGUUUUGUCUUCCUCUGGAUAUGCAUAAAUAGGAGCCUGUACUCUGCUUACAAUCAGUUUACAAGUCAUAGUUGAUCCUUCCUCCUCUUUCUGUCCGAAAACACACACAACACACAGUCAAGAAAGAGUUUAUGGCGGAGGCAUCAGAAGCUAAUGGCAAUCAUGGGGUGGCUUUGGACGUUAAAGAUGAGGAUUUGAGUUACAAAGAUGGGAAGAAUUCAGCAUCCAAAACCGUUUCUGAUACUUCUGGCUUCCUUCUCACCGUCCCUUUUAUGCAAAAGGUGAAUUAAUCCCUUCUCAAUUCCAACUUCUUCUUUCAUUUGCUCACAUGGCACAUGCCACAGUAGGUUUUGAAUUUCAAGCAAAUUCAAGAUUUUUUUCUCUUUGCUGCAAAAUUCAAAAUUUUAAAAGCAUCCCGUUUCUUUGAUCUGCUUUAACAAUUCUUAGAAUCUUAAUUCUCAAUUGUUUCUCCAAAAUAAUUGGACUAAGGUAGCAUUUGACAUUUAUCGUUUUUUCCCCCUUGAACUUCAGUUUAUAUCAUAUCCAUCAAUUCUGCAGUUAAGACUAAUAUAUUAUGUUCAAUGUUCCUAGUAAAUUUCUUAUAAGCCUUUUUUUACCUAGACCAAGUGUUCUAUUGUUCCUCCAAGAUCUUUCAAGGCAUUAAUUUUGGAAUUUACUACGAAAUAAUAUAACAUUUAUUUGGUUCUUUUUUUCUUUUAAACAGUUGAUAGCAGAGAUAGCAGGUACAUAUUUCUUGAUAUUUGCCGGUUGCGGUGCGGUGGUGAUUAAUGCAGUCAGGAACAAUACAAUUACGGCUCCAGGGAUAUCAAUUGUGUGGGGGCUGGCGGUGAUGGUGGUUGUUUACGCAGUUGGCCACAUCUCCGGUGCACAUUUAAAUCCGGCUGUAACCAUUGCUUUUGCGACCUGCAAAAGGUUCCCGUGGAAACAGGUAGUUUAAUUAACCGAUUUAUGUACUGUAUCAAAUUGUUCUUCAUAUCCUCGGGCAUGACUGAAUUUUAUUAAAUAACGAAAGAUAAAUAUUUUGACUGUUGAGGAUACGAAUUGAUGAAUUUCUCUAUCCAUCCCAUCCACUUGCUGUCGAAGGUGAAUCCAUUUUUGACUUUGUACACAAAAGAAAUUUAUGGGUUAUUAAUGAUUGAAAGAAAAGUUUGCAUUAUGAUAGGUCCACCUCCCUUCUCCUUUUUCUUUUUUCUUUUUCUUUAGAGUACAAUUUAAGAAAUUUUAUAAUCACAUUUAUUCCACUUUUCAACAAAAAGAGAAUGGCAACUGACAAGCUUUUGAGGGAAUUUUGGAGGGAUAGGGGUCAGAGAGGAAAAUUAUGAUAGGGAUUCGGUUCUAUGCAAAAUGAUAAACUACUUACAUGGAAAUUUUCAAGUAAGACCAAAACUUUGAUGCAUGGUUUUGCCCUAUUCGAGUAUUCAUUCGCUGUCAGGUCUUGUUUGCCUUUUCGAUGAUAUUUUGGUAAUGUUAGGUAUGAUUUUCUUUCCUUAGGUGCCAGCCUACAUCUCAGCACAAGUCCUCGGAUCAAUUCUGGCGAGUGGAACCCUAAGAUUGCUAUUCAAUGGGCACCAAGAUCACUUUUCGGGAACACUUCCAAAUGGAAGUGAUGUGCAAUCUCUUGUUUUGGAAUUCAUAAUCACAUUUUACCUAAUGUUCGUCAUUUCUGGAGUUGCCACGGAUAAUCGAGCUGUUAGUGCUUCUUUUUCUUGAUCAAAUUAUUUUCUCGGUGUAUAAAAAGUUAAUCUAAUAAAUAAUAUACUAAUAAUUUUGAUUAAAUUAAAAGAAAGAACGAGUAGAUUUGACGAGGGAUGAUUUCAGUUAGCAACGUGACAACUCAUCCAAUUUGAUUCCUCUUUAUCAGUCUAAAUUAAAUUUUAUUCUAAUGACUUGUACAUACUAGAGAUAGUUACGUGUUUUCGACAGAAAAGGGUCUUAUGACAGAGACCUAUUGAGCUCAUCGAUGACCACUAAUGCAUCAUAUAUUUAGACAGUAGAGCCUAAUACGUGGUUUAAUUUUUUGCUAACUUAGUUUAAUUUUGGUUGCUUAAACAGAUAGGAGAACUUGCUGGUCUCGCCGUUGGAGCUACCGUUUUACUAAAUGUGAUGUUUGCGGGGUACGUGCCUGAUUAUGUGAUUGAUUGAUUCUUUGGUUUGAUUAUUUGUUCCCAUUGAUUUUAAUAUACCUAACAAAUCCCAUCACUAUCAACCGGUGCAUUAUUGCUUAAAGGGUAGAUUUCGAUUUUGUGCCCCGGAAGAAUUUAGUAAUUGCAUCGACUGAGUCUUUGAGAAGCAAACUUGUCGGAACUUGACCCUCAAACAUUCAAGAUUCAUUUCAUUGGCAGUGCUCAUUCCAACUAAAGAUUUGAUGCAUAUGUCCAAAGCCUUUUGGAUUUAACUUUCCUUUGGAUUGAUCUAUUCAACGCUAACAUUGCAUAUAUUAUUGCAUAUAUUAGCUGAUUUGAAUGCAUGAUAAUUAAUCUGAAUUUCGAUUUGAAUUUAAAAUUUUAUAUGCGUAACAUGCAUCCGCUGAAACUACUGUGUACACUAUCAAUACAUAAAAGAUUAAUUAUUUUUUCUUUUAUUUUGCAUUUUGUGCUUUUGUCUAAACAAUUGUUGCAGUCUAAAGGAUUAUUAAAAAAAAAAAAAAACUCUACCAAAAGUAUGUCAAAUUAAAAAAGUAAACUGAAAAGAUGAAUUCUUAAAAUUUAGGGGCUAGCAUGAGAUUAUUCUCUACCCAUAAGGCAAAUGGUCGACAUCUUGAUAUUUCGGAUUGAAACUAAACAAUCGGGAAUUUCCCAUAUAUUCUGGGAAGUUACUUGUGGUCAAAUAUACCUAUAUAUUAAUAUCUUUGUGAAUCAGGCCGAUUUCUGGUGCAUCAAUGAAUCCAGCAAGGAGUUUGGGUCCAGCAAUUGUUUCAAGCAAAUACAAAUCUUUGUGGGUAUACAUUCUGGGUCCAACUGCAGGGGCCAUAGGUGGAGCUUGGGUCUAUAAUAUCAUCCGGUUCACAGACAAGCCUUUGCGUGAAACUACAAAGAGUGGAUCAUUCCUGAAAAACGCAGCCCGCGACAACUCUAACUGAAUAGGAAGCCUUUCUCAAUCAUCCUUCUUUUGUUUUUUUUUUGGGCUUCCCCCAGGCACUUGUGGGUUUGAGGGGAACUCAUUUAGAAGAACAAAAGUUGUAACAUUGUGUAGUGAAAUAAGAUUAUUUGCUUACAAUUUUGUGCAAAUAGGAAUUCACAAGAUAAUUGUCUCUACACAACUGAUAGUGAUGGGAAAAUUGUGCAUAUACAUUUCAGGAUAAAAAAGUGUCAUUGCUACGUAGAAUGGAUCCACAUUUUUUUUUUCUGAAGUAUCUUGCUCCAAGAUCGAUGAAGAUGAUGACAUGACGAACAAACUGAUUGGAUAGAACCAUGAGCCAUCUGGUCAGACAAGUAGAUAGGACACCUGAUGAACUAUGAACUUCGAUUGAAUUUCAGAUGGUAGAUAGGAAAAGAAUAUGAUACAUCGCUUAAAAUAAUUCGAUUGUUAUUGUUUCAGAAAAAUCGUACUACUAGAUUUAAAGGUUAAGUCUCAUCUUGUUAGGUCACAACAUACCUGCAAAAGAUGAGUACCAUCAUUCCCUAAAUAUAAUGAUGUAUGGCUAAAUUUAAUAACGUGUUCAAUUUUCAAUUACAAAAUCCUAUUUUAAGCGAUAUAAUGAGAGUUAUACGACAGACAUGAACUAAAUGACAGUCCACCUGGCAUUGCCCAUGUUUGUAUUUAUCAUUUAGACAUGUCAUGUUUUUUAAUUAUUUUUUUAGGUGAAUUCUUUUUAGUCAUGGGCAUUCAUUAUUACAUUUAGGAAUAAAGAUAUGAAAAAUUAUUUGACAAAAAAAUAAAGACAUGAAAAUUUUCAAUUAUAUUAUCAUGAUAUUAUCAUUAAGUAUUUAGGGGCUUUUGCUUGGGUUUGGGGGAGAAGUGUGGAUGGGAGGGAGGGAGCAAACAAGAGUGACUCUAUUCGAGCGGCACAUCAAAAUCUCUAGAAUGCUUACUGAUAAUAUAUAUAUGUCUGUGUGUGCUACCUGACAAAACUAUACAAGGUUAAUAAUAACUUGUUGCUAUGUAGCUUGGAAGACUUUUUUAGGUCUUUAGGGAUACCCAGCAAUUGCCUGCGUUGUAACUUAGAUCAACACAUGCAAAAGCAUAUUUAAAAUUCACAACUUAAUCAAAAUAACGACUUAUCACAUGCUUUGCCCACUAGUUAUACCAAAUUUCAGGUUGAAAGGAACUUGAUAAACGGCAAAUUAAUACAUACGUCACGUAAGCUAUAGAAUGUUAAUUUUUUUUUUAUUUGAAAAGAAGAAAGAAUAGAGAGAGGGCAAGUAGUAUGAAUCUGAAAUACUGAGGUCAUAAUAGGAGAUUUAUAUAACUUAACAACUUGCAUAGAAGCAUUUGAAAAAGCAUAAGGAAUUGCAAAAGAAAGUAAUGUGCACAUUCUUGAACUGUUUUUAAGUAAUAAAAUCUUUUCAUUUCUUGUCGUCAACAUUCUUGGAUUGUUUGAUUAAAUUUCUCCCCAAGUAAUGUAGGUUUUAGUAAGUGGUUUGAUCCACUAAGUUUCCAGCUCAUUUUUGUCGGAGGGUUCUAAUUAAAUUUGGGAACUCAGUUGCUUGGUGUUCACAGAAUGCACAACGAGGAUGCUGAGACGAAGCUGGUGUUCAAUGAAGUAGUUGGCGGCGGGAAAUGCUUUGCUUAUUCUGGCACUUUUUACGGACUUAUGAUUGAAACUCAGGAUAGCGAGGGCACAUAUCGUGAUAAAUUCCUGGUUGUUGAGGCCAUAACUGGUCUCAAGAAACUCAUCUGCAACAAGCAUUAAUCAAGUGCUACUCUUCAUCUAAGGAUGAUUAAUGUAUUCUGAUAAGUAAUUAUCUGGUUUUAUGUAUGUUAACUAAUUGUAUGCAGGAUCGAUUCUCUGUUGUUUGCAAGUAAAUUGCUCUACUCAUGCAUGAUUAAUUAUAAAGUCAUCAUAAACAAAAUCUUACUAUAAAAUGUUACUUUGAAUCCAGUCCCUAAAAGCAAGAAAAGGCUUUCGAAACCCAUAUUUGUCAAGUCGAGUUAUAUCUUAGUUUCUUUCAAAUCACUAGCAACACCCAACAUAUGCAAACAUAGUGAAUCAUUUACACGAGGGAAAGUUUUAGAUUCAAAAGCACAUUAUAUAUAUGCUUUUAAAAAAAUUUCUGGUUCAUAUAAUCAGAUUAUUCUCAUAUUGAUUAUAUCAGCUCAGCUACCAUGUUAAGCCUGUGUUUGGUAAUACUCUGUUACAACUGGGUCUAUGGGGAUAGCUUUUAAGUCAAUGCUGAUUGUUGUUGUGGUACCAAAUGAGGAGAGCACGGUAAAAUGGGCACAGAAAAUUGACUAUUGAGAUCCCUUUUCUGGAUUAUGUUCCCUUAACCACCUGCAAGACCAUAUCUUCCAGGAGCUGAAGUCCACGGCGGAGAGAAACAAGCUCAUUUUUCAUUUUCUGCAAACCUUGAAAUGUUGUAGAAUAUCUCAUCAUCAUUGCCUUAUCCUAGAUGACCAUCUAAUGGCUGUAGAAUAUUGUUUGUUAAACAUAAAUAAAGUGUGGCAUCCUUUUCAACUUCUGUUCUGAUGUUAUACACCUUUUCAGCUGAGAGGCUUUGAGCAUAUCAAAGAAAUCAUUCUGCAACCUUACAAAAUGCAAAUGUUACCUUCCCUUGGUAGAGAUAGAGAAAAUUGAUUGAUGUUUUCCUUUUCUCUUUUUUUUUUUCACCUAACAGAACAUGAGUGAGAUUUAAGAAGCGAGAAGAGAAAAAGGAGAUUAGAUGCUAGAACAUCAAAUUCCUACUUGUGAAAUGGAUUGAUAUUUUCCUUCCCACUACUUGGGAAAUAAGAAGUUAUCUGUCUGAAUAUCAUAAUGUAUGUGCAUAAUUGAAAAUUUUCAUGUUUUUUUCUUUUUAUGUCAAAUAACGUUUCAUAAAAAAAAUGACGUUUCAUAUCUUCAUGACCAAAUAUAUGCCUAAAUAUAAUAAUGCAUGUGCAUGAUUGAAAAUUCAACAUGUUAUUAUAUUUAGGCAUACAUCAUUAUAUUUAGGUAAUGAUGGUAGUUAUUUUUGCAGGUAAGUUGUGAGCAGUUGUGACCUAAUGAGAUGAGAGUUAUGUUUUAAACCUAAUACGACUUUUCUAAAACACUAACUAUCAAAUUAUGUUAAGCUAUGUAUCAUAUCAUUUUUCUAUCUACUUGUGUAAAAUUCAAUCGUUCAUCAGGUGUUCUAUCUAUUUGUCUGACAAGAUGGUUCAUGUUUCUAUCUAUUUAGAUUUUUCGACAUCUCUUCAUCUUCAUUCAUCUUUGCACAAAAUUGAAAGCAUAUAAUCUUAUAUUACUAUAGAAUGUUGCAAAUUUUUUUCUUGUACAUGAGAACCCCUCAAACACCCCCCCCCCCCAAACAAAAAAAAAACAAAAAAAAAAAAAAAAAAAAAAAAAAAAAAAGAAAAGAAGGAUGAUUGAGUAAGGCUUUACAUUUCAGUUAGAGUUGACGGGGGCUGAGUCUUUUAGGAAUGAUCCACUCUUUAAAACUUCACGCAAAGGCUUGUCUGUGAACCGGAUGAUAUCAUAAACCCAAGCUCCAGAUAUGGCCCCUGCAGUGGGGCCCAGAAUGUAUACCCACAAAGAUUUGUAAUUGCUUGACACAAUUGCUGGGCCCAACCUCCCCGCUGGACUCAUUGAUCCACCAGAAAUCGGCCUGAUUCAUCAAGACAUCAAUACAAGUGUGCUUGAUCAGAAGCUUCGGCAUAAGACACUAACUUCUUCGGAAUAUAUGGGAAAUACGAGUGUACGACUUCAAAUGUUCUAGGCUCUCCAAUCUGUUGGUAGAGGAUUUUUUUUUUCUAAUCGUUUGGAUUGCAAAAAGUGUUUCGACAAAUAUACAAAAUGUACUACGAAUGAAAAAAUGAUUAGCCCUUUAUCCAUUGACAGUAUACAAAUUAGUUUCAGAUGAUACAGGUUACACGUGUAAAAUUUUAAAUUAUAAUUUAAAUUGAGAUUAAUAGUCAUGUAUUUAGACCAAAAAAUGUAUGCUAUAUUAGCAUAGAGUAGAGUAAUCAAGAGAGAAGCUGAAAAGGCUUUGGACAUACGCAUCAGAUCUUUAGUUGGAGUGAGUAUGCUGAUGAAAUGAAUCUUGAAUGUUAAGAGGGUCAACAAGUUUGCAAUUACAAAAUUCAAAAUCAACCCUUUUAAGCACUAAUGCAUUGGAAUAUUAAAGUCAAUGGCAACAAAUAAUCAAACCAAAGAAUGAAUUAAUUAAUCAGCACGUACCCGGCAAUCAUCACAUUCACUAUAACGGUAGCUCCAACGGCGAGACCCGCAAGUUCUCCAAUCUGUUUAAGCAACCAAAACUAAAAUAAGUUAGCAAAGAAUUAAACCCGUUGGUUAGGUUCUGCUAUCUAAAUAUAUGAUGUAUUAGUAGUCAUCAAUGAGUACAAUAUGUCUGUGUCACAAGGCCUUUAUUAAUGAAAACACGUAAUUAUCUUUAGCAUGUACAAGUCAUUAGAAUAAAAUUUAAUUUAAAAUGAUAGAGAAGAAUCAAAUUGGAUGAGUUGUCUUGUAGCUACCUGAAAUCCCCAGUCAAAUCUAUGUGUUCCUUCUUCCAACUUAAUCAAAAUCAUAAGUAUAUGAUUCAUUAGAUUAGUUGACUUUUUAUGCACUGAGAAAAUAAUCGAGUCAAGGAAAAGAAGUACUAACAGCUCGAUUAUCUGUGGCAACUCCACAAAUGACGAACAUUAGGUAAAAUGUGAUUAUGAAUUCCAAAGCUAGAGAUUGCACGUCACUUCCAUGGGGGAGUGGCCCUGCAAAGUGAUCUUGGAAUAGUAAUCUUAGAGUUCCACUUGCCAGAGUUGAUCCAAGGACUUGAGCUGAGAUGUAGGCCGGUACCUAAGCAAAGAAAAUCAUACCUAACAUUAACAAAAUGUGAUUAACAAGACAAAUUACUCCACCAAAGAGGAAGGGGUUCACCGAUUUUUGUAGGGAAACAACAUCUUAUGGCAAAUAGAGCUCAACUAUACAUACAUUAACCCACAAUUUCUUGCGUGGACAAAGUCAGAAAGGGUUUCACCUUCAACAGCAAGUAGAUGGGAUGGAUGGACAAGUUCAUCAAUUCAUUUGCUCAACAGUCAAAAUUUUUUCUUUUUCUUUUUUUUUUCUUAUUUAAAAAAAAUUCAGUCAUGCCUGAGGAUAUUAAGGAUAAUUUGUUUGAUAGAGUACAUAAUUACACUACCUGUUUCCAUGGGAACCUUUUGCAGGUGGCAAAAGCAAUGGUUAUAGCUGGAUUUAAAUGUGCACCGGAGAUGUGGCCAACUGAGUACACAACCACCAUCGCCGCCAGCCCCCACACAACUGAUGUCCCCGGAAACGUAAUUAUAUUGUCCCUUGCAGCAUUAAUCACCACCGAACCGACACCGGCAAAUAUCAAGUAAUAUGUGCCUGCCAUCUCUGCUACCAGCUGUUAUACCAAAUGAAAAAAAGAAGAAGAAAAGAACAACAAAAAUAAAUUUUGAAUUAAGUAUUUCAUAGUAGAGAUCUUGGAACAAUUUGGUCUAGGUACAAAACGUUACCAUGAAAUUUACUUGGAGCAUUGAACGUAAUAUAUUAAUCUUAACUGCGGUAUUGAUGGAUAUGAUGUAAACUGAAAUUCAAAAGAAGAAAAUGUUGAGGCCUAACUAAUCCAAUUAUUUUGGAAAAACAACUGAGAAAAAUGAUUAUAAGAAAUGAAAAGCAAACUUGAGAAAUGGGAUGCCUUUAAAAAUUUGAAAUAUGUCUCAAAAAAAAAAAAAAAGAAAAGGAAAAACUUCCUUGAAUUUGAUAGAAAAUGACUAGCCGUUUUGGCAUGUGAAUGAAUGAGGGAAGAAUUGAAGCUGGAAUUUGCGAGAGAUUAAUAUAUAAUUCACCUUUUGCAUAAAAGGGACGGUGAAAAGGAAGCCGGAAGUAUCAGAAAUGGUUUUGGAUUCGGCGUUCUUCACAUCCUUGUGACUCAAAUCCUCAUCUUUAACGUCCAAAGCCACCCCAUGAUUGCCAUUAGCUCCUGAUGCUUCAGCCAUAAACUAGUUACUUUUGAUUUCAGUGGUAAAGGAGAAUAUUAGUAUAUAUUAUCGUGCAAUGCAGGCAUUUUGAUCCUCCAUUUAAAUUGAAAGGAUCCAAUUGUCUUUUAUGUGCUGUUCGGUUUCAGACAUCAAUUCAGAAGUUUGCUUUCAACCUGACAAUCUAUAUAAAUUAGUUGUACGAUUCAAUGGUGCAUGAAAUAAUGGAUUUUAACUUCUCCCAGAAGAAAACAGACUGUGAAAAAACUUAUAGACAAAGACUCCAGAAUCAUGCCUGAGAGAUCCGGUAUAAAUGCAUUGUAAAGUAACUAGUGUUGCAUAGGCGGCUCCUUCCAUCCUGGCAGAUUUCUUGAGGUAAUUUGGAUCAAUGAUAUUGAUUUUGACCUAAUAAUAUUAAAUUAACUUGGAAGCCUCACUCGAGAAUUUUCAGCUAAUCUUCAUCUCCAUAAUAGCAUUGUUUGUUUCUCCCACAAAAAUACAAAAAAGGGAAAAACAAGUCUUCUUCUUCUUCCCUUCUUCUUCUCUAUCGGCUAGUGGGGAUAAAGAACAAAUGGAACAAAAAUGUUGUUUUGUCCUUGCAUUAAAACAGCAAUGACUAUCUCUUAUAAUGAAAUAACUCUUCUUUGGUUUAUUUAGUUGGGAAUAUGCUUUCACAAAAUUGCUUGAUGGGUUUAAGGUUGUUUUGAUGAUACAUACAGAGUAAGGGGUUCACGAUUGUUAUUCUGCUGCCGAAAUGUCCAUAAUAAGAACAACAAUAAAGCCGUAUUCGUAAGCUUGUAUUCGAGGGCUGCAAUCACUUAAAAGCCUAGGUUAAUAAUCUGAUUGAUUAGACAUAUGCAUAUUUAUAUAUGAUGGAUCUAACAAAAUAACACAAAAUAUAGAUCUCGAAAAUUAAUAAAAAUUUUCACGGUAAAACUCUAAACAUAUACUAUAAAUAUCAAAUAAAACAAUGGAAUCCCGAAAACAUCCAUGAAUGUUUCUAAUCGCCAAAUCUGCUAAUGAACAUAUUGAUAACAUCAAUUUUAGUUGUCUCCCUCCCCAAUCUAACGAGGCAAAUAGGUACUGGAACAUAUAAAUUCUUGUAAUCAAUCAAAUAUUUAGAAGUCCCAAAAGUAUAUUAAUUCCACUUAGUGUUGUUGUAAUCCCAAUUAUGCUGGCUUUUUAACAGAGUGUAAAUUAAUCAAUUGUGCUCUUUCUUAAUCUGUUAGUCAGUUAGCUAUAUAUAUAUAUAUAUAUAUAUAUAUAUAUAUUCUUAAUGGCUUUUCCAAUUGAAAUUGCAGCUGCAGGUACUACGGCACCUGCCUUGAGCAGAAUAUGAGAUGGCCACUAUGAAAUAAAGCGUUGAAUUUUCAAUUAUGCGUAUACAUUAUCAUAUUUAGCCAUGGGAAAAAUCGCCAAUUUAGUCCCUAAACUUUUUUUUCCGUCAAUUUAGUCUCUAUACAUUAUUUAUAGCCAAUUUAAUCCCUAAACCUAUAUUUCGAUUCCAAUCAAGGAGCUUAGCGGCGGCGCCACCGCAUAAUUUCCAUCGGCUUCCAAAUCUAGGAACCCAGAAGGGGUAUUUUAGGGACUUCCAUAUUUUUCAUAUUUCUCUUUGACUUUCAUCUUAUGAUACUACUACUGCUGUGGAAGAAGUGGUGCUACCGGAGGAGGAGGAGGAGCCAAGAGGAACACUACUACUGCUGCUGCUGCUACUACCAGUACUACUAGGAGUAGUGGAGGUAUUGGAGGAAGUGGAAAGGAGACCGGUGCUGUUGAAGCCAAUGUAGUAGGCCGAGGAGUCAUCCGGCUUGAAGAGGCCGUAGUUCCUCUCGGAGGUUGGGCUGGACUUCAUGUUCUCGUUGAAAAGGGCGAAGACAUAGAUGUUCAAGUCGGCGUUGGGCCUCAUGGGCGUCCCCUUCUUCCCGCACACCAGCUUGUUGAUGAGGUUGCCGUUGUACUUCUUGGCAUUCUCCGGAGUGGCUCCGGCCUCGUCGGUGUCCCCCUUGGAGGGCCAGCCGGUCUCGGAGAUCUGGACGCACACCGCGUCGUCCUUGAACCCCAAGGACUCGACGGCGAAAUGGACGGCGUCGAUCUGGGCGAAAAGCAUGUUGUCGUAGUGGAGAUUGGUGGCGGGAUCGUCGAGAUACAAAGCAAAUAGCGGAAUCCUGAAGGAAUUCAACUUUGCAAAGCAUUCGUAGUUGGUGCGCCCAUAAUCUAAGCCGGCCCUUCUUCGCUGAGCACCAGACAAAUUGUAUGUGGUGCGUAAUGAUGAGUAAGGCUUUGGAUAUACUAUAUAUUAGAACUCUACAUUAUACAAUGCCAAAGCAGCUAUGGCACGCACCCCAUUGAUCUUUGAAGAGGUGAUUUUUGGUAGGUAAAUGGACCGACCUAAAUCAGGCCUCUCUGAGAUGAGGUGGUAUACCUUUGCUUGUCCGAAGUGGAUGGCGGGGCUUCUCCCCUGGUAUCACUCCGACGAUUAAGUUAGUAAGAGAACGAGAAAGAUAAUGGUAUAUGAGAAUGAACAGUGUGUUUACUUGUUGGGAGUGUGUGGGGUAUUUAUAGAGUGAGAGCGGAGGGCAGGACGGAGGUCUUAUGUGGGUGGGACCCAUGCCCUGCCAUUACGGCUCUGCUCACUGUCUGGUGGCCUGACUCUGACACUGUAGCCGCCUGGACAGGGUGACGAGGAGUCCUUCGCAGUAGCCAUUAAAUGCGACAGUGCUUUUCAGAUAAAGCACUGAUCUUGGGUGAUGUCAGGUGUCCUGACCUCAUCCGCGUGCAGCUGAGGUGGAGGUGCCGAGGUCACCUAUACGGUAGACUAGGGAUCCGGCCGCGCUUUAGGGGAUAUGCCCGAGACACGGAUGAGCUCUGAUGAGGGACGAGGUGAGUUCACCUCGGACACACGGGGUUGCCGAGGUGAGCACCCUCAAUAAGCCCCCCAAGCCUCGGGAGCUCCGGGCCAGGGAGGUACCGAGGCUUCCUUGGCCGAAGUCGUAAAGAGUCGGAGUCCCGAAACUGCUCCGGAAGAUACGGGGAUGUGACACGUGGGCAUGUCAGCUGAUAGGACGUGGUCAUUGGUAACCGUCGCGUCGUGAAGUAGUGGGACGUUUCGUGUAGAGGGUGUCAGGUAAAAGGACGGGGCAUUAAUGAGGAGAGAGGGAGGCGCGGUGUUUUGAAUUCGAACGUGGCCGUCCUUUCGCAUUCUUACCGCCUCUUCGGAUUCCCCCCAAACCUUUAUAAAUAGGGGGGUCCCCCUCACCGCAAUACUCACACCUUUCACUUUCAUCUGAGACUUGCAAAGUUCGUGAGCGUAGCCGAGGUCAGUUCUAUCAGCCGAGAUCAGUCUAGUAGCCGAGAUCAGAGCCGAGGUUAUCCACUUCGUCCAGUUCCGUAGGCAAUAGUAAGUACCCUUCUUCUUUCUUAUUUCGUCUUUCACCCAUGGCCAAAACGGCUAAGACCCAUAGAGAGACCGUGACUCCGAGCUACCUGACCGAGGUGAGGCCGGAACCUGUGGGAGAAGCGACGACGUCCAGCUCGGAAGGGUCGAGCCCGAGUUCUGAGAAGGGAUCGACCGAGGCGGGAGCCAGCGGGGCAGCCUCGGAGUUGGAGUCGUCCGAGAUGAGCGAGGGUGGUUCCGAGGUGGGCUACGACGAGGAGCUCGGCGUCGGGAUACCACACGACGAGGACGCACUGGAGCUUGCCACUCCGGAGGACACAGCCAUCAUCGACUUCGGCAAGAUGCCGAAGUUUAGAAGUCGCAUCGGAAGAGAUCGGGCCGUGAAGGUGAUGAACAAGUACCCUUUUCGGUCGGGGUACGAGAUUUUACCGCCCGGGGCGAAUGACUCAGCCGAAAAGCCCCCCUUGGGCAUGGUGGCCAUCUAUGUCCAGCAGUUAGAGGCCGGGCUGAGGAUGCCCACCUCGAGGUUCUUCAGGGACUUGCUCCGUCACUUCUACGUGAGGAUUACCCAACUCACCCCGAACGCGGUCCGCAUCAUCGUAGGGUUCGAGAUGCUGUGUCGACAUCAGGAGGUGACUCCCUCUGUCGACCUCUUCCGCCGAUGCUAUACCCUCAAGGCGCACGGGACGGAUAAGGGAUGGUUUUAUGUUGGCAACCGGAACAAUGCCAUUCCGAAGUUGGUGAUCGGUUCUCCCAGGUCGAUCAAAAAUUGGAAACACGACUUCUUUUUUGUGUCCGAAGUGGACUUCCCCAGGGGCUUCUGGUGGAGGCCAAUCAAAGCGAAGGCCGAUCCCUCCGCUGGGGAUGCCAAGGAGGAGGACUUCCAGAAGCUGAUGGGGUCGGGACUUCGGAUAUACAGUCUGGACUACCCCGAAGCCGUGCUGGUUGACGGGGGGAUCAGUCGAGCUUUGCUCAGUCCUGACAGAACUCCCUUCACUUCCACCAAACUUAAGAUUCCUUGUAAUUUUCUUUCAUAACUUCGCUUUCAUUUCGGCUAAGGCAUAUGAUAAUAUUUGUUUCUUGUGCAGUGACUAAACUGUCCGACAUCGUCGUGUCUGGCUCGUCCGAAGUGGCCAAAAGGCAGAAGAGGAAGAGCUCCGGUGAGACAUCGGCACCUCCGCCGAAGAAGAAGUCACAAGGACAAGCUGCCAAGACCUCGGCGGCUAAAAGCACUCCCACCACGGCUGGCCAAAGCAGCUCGGCCACCGCGGCUACGGGGUCCACCUCGUCCUUGCCAGAGGGAGUGCCCCUUGGAGUCGUCACGGCACUUUCACCUCCUCAUGGCUGAGGCAAGCAGUUGAAGCCCCCGGUCAAUGCGGUCUCGGGGACCUCGCUAUGGAAUCGUUUCCAUAGCCCCCCGGUGUUUUCCGGGGAUGAGAAGACACACCCCGCCGGGCACUGGUGUCCGAACUGGAAACUUUCAGCCAACGACAGGUGCAGCCAUCCUCGGGUUGCCCAAGAGCUAGUAAUGCACUCCCCCCUGCCAAGGGAUUUGGAGUUUAUGAAGAAGCUGACCCCGGCUGAGAUGGUUCAAAGCCUCAUGGUGAGCACAGCUUCCACCUCAGCCUUUGUGGCCGAGAUGACACACCGGUACUGUGCUCUGGUCGAGGAGCAGGACACCGGCAAGCUGCAAAAUCAGAUCUCCAAGUUGGAGAAGAAAUUGACGGUGUCCGAGUCUGAGAAGGCCGAGCUUCAAAGACAGCUUAAGGAGGCCGAAGCUAAGGGUGAGGAAGCCGAGGUCACAAUGAAUAGUCUCAGAUCGGCCCUCGAAGAAGAGCAGAAGAGGGGGGACGAGGCGAAGAAGUCUCAUGAGCAAGCCCUCAACAGUGUUGGGGCCUCGGCAGUGGAUGCAUUUCGGAGGUCUGAGGCCUUCACCAAGGAUCUCGGCCAACUGCUCACACCAAACUUCAUGUUCGGCUUCACGUCGGGUGUGGACGCGGCCGCAGCCCACCUCCCCUCCGAAGCCUUGGAGUCGUUAAGAGGCCAUGCCAGCUACAAUGAGGACUCUCAGGAUCUGUGCGACCGGAUGGCCGAGGGCAUCCAGGCCGGAAGGAACUUGGCCGAGGUCAAGAACGAGUUCAACAAGUGGCUGUCUGAACUCGACGAAGUGUUCGAGGAGGGUGAAGAAGUUGGGGAAGACGAAGCAGGAGGGGACAUCGGCGAAGAGCAUGGAGAAGAACUUCACCCCGGCGGAGGAGAGUCCGGAGAGAAGGCUGCCCAGGAGGGAGCCGAGACGGGAAAUGGAGCCGAGACUGGGGUCUAGGCUCGUGGGCUUUAAAGGGGUGGCCGAGGUGGAGAGUGCUUAGUAGCAUUCCGACCUCGGCCUUGUAUUUUUUGUAACGCUCCUCUGUUGAAUGAAAGUUUACUUCUUUUCAUCUCAGCGCUUUAAUUUCUUGCUUUGACUUCGUCCCUUGCUUGUCCCCCUUUAUUUUUUAAUAGCACAAUACCGAUGUUGAAAAAUAACAUAAAAUCCGAAGUCAUAACUUGAUUAAAAAUUCAAGCAUAAUACAUUUUGAGGUUCUCGGCGUGCCAAGACCUCGGCACUAGUGAGCCAUCUCGGUAGCUCAGUUUACAAUAUCCCUUAAGGUCAGAUUCCACAACUCGGUAGGGGCCUUCCCAUUUCGGGCAUAGUUUCCAUUGCGGUUCAGCUCGGCUGACUGAGUUUUUCCUCAGAACCAAGUCUCCAGGCUGGAAUCUACGGUGUCUGACGCGGGCAUUGUAAUAGUGUGCCAGUGUGUUCUUGUAGGAAGCUAUCCGGGCUGAGGCGAGGUCCCUUCGUUCAUCGACGAGGUCGAGAUCCAGCUGCCUUUCUUCGUCGUUCACCUCGGCUGCAAAGGCUGCUAGCCGAGGGCUGGGGGUAAGGAUCUCGGCAGGGAUGACAGCCUCGGCUCCGUAGGUCAAAGAGAAUGGGGUCUCUUGCGUGGCUGACCUCGGCGUGGUCCGAUAAGACCACAGGACACUGGGGAGUUCUUCGACCCAAGAUGUCCCAGCUCGGUGUAGUCGGGUCUUGAGGCCAUGCAAGAGAGUUCGGUUGAAGUUUUCUGCUUGACCGUUGGCCUGGGGGUGGCCUACCGAAGUGAAAUGUCGUUUGAUGCCAAGGUUUGUGCACCAAGCUUUAAAGGGGUUCUCGGCAAAUUGUCUUCCAUUGUCCGAGAUGAUGACCUGAAGAAUGCCGAAGCGGCAGACGACGCAUUUCCAAAAGAAUUUUUGAAUUGCCAGCCCAGUGAUGGUCCUUAGAGGCUCGGCCUCAACCCACUUGGUGAAAUAAUCCACUGCGGUUACCAGGAAGGUAUAACCGCCGACGGUCCUGGGGAAGGGACCUAUGAUGUCUGUCCCCCAUUGCUCAAACGGCCAAGGUGAAGUGAUGGGAACCAUGAAGUUUGCGGGCUGGUGAUGCUCGGGUGCGUGGACUUGGCAGGAAGGGCAGCCGAGAACGAGGUCCUGGGCGUCUUGCCGAACUGAGGGCCAGAAAUAUCCAAGAAGCAGAGCUUUCUUGGCUAGCAUUCUGUGGCCGACGUGAGCUCCACACAAGCCCUCGUGGAUCUCGUGGAGUACGUGGCGUCCUGUCUCGGGAGUGACACACCUCAGCCAGGGGCCGAGGUAGGAACGUUUGUACAGCUCUCCAUCGCGGAGAGCGUACCGAGCCGCCUUGCGUUGUAUUUUUCUCGCCUCGGCUCGGUCUUCGGGGAGGGUUCCUUGAUCCAAGAAAAGGAUGAACGGGGUCAUCCAAGUUUCUUCAGAGUGCACGGAGCAUGCCACCUCUUCCACGUAUCCUGGUUCACUCAGGACUUCCACCAAGACAGUUUUGUUGAGGUUGGAGAAUGACGUAGAAGCCAACCGGGAUAAGGCGUCGGCUCGCUUAUUCUGGGACCGGGGUAUUCUUUAGAUUUCGAAAUACUCGAAAUACGCGGUGAGUUGGUGAACUUUGGAGAGGUACCGUUGCAUGGUCUCAUCCUUGGCCUCGUAUUCACUAAGAACUUGGCGUACAACGAGUUGGGAGUCACUGCGGACGUGGAUUUGCUGUGCGCCGAGCCUGCGGGCCAGCUGGAGUCCAGCAAUUAAGGCAUCGUACUCGGCUUCAUUAUUGGUGGCUGGGAAGCCAAAGCGGAGGGCGUAAGAGCACACUUCUCCCUGAGGUCCUUCCAGGAGUAGCCCAGCUCCGCUGCCAUCCCCAUUAGAGGAUCCAUCUACAUACAAUGUCCACCGGGAUGGGGUGGACACCUCGGCAAAGGCAGAGGUGGACUCUGGACCUUCCGUGAAGGUGAGCUCGGCCAAGAAGUCGGCUAAAGCUUGAGCUUUUAUGGCGGUGCGCGGCUCAUACGACAGGUCGUACUCCCCUAACUCGACGGCCCAUUUGGUGAGGCGCCCGGAGGCCUCGGGUCGAACCAGUAUCUGUCGGAGAGACUGGUCGGUCCUGACGGAUAUGGGAUGAUCCAAGAAAUAGGGUUUCAGCCGCCGAGCGGCGUGGACUAGCCCCAGCACCAGUUUUUCCACCUGAGUCUAUCGAGUCUCCGGUCCGCGGAGAGCUCGGCUGACAUAGUAGACUGGCACUUGGGUGCCCUCAUCCCGGAUAAGAACAGCGCUGACAGCCUCGUCGGCUGCGGAGAGGUAGAGGUAGAGCUUCUCCUCGGGCCGAGGUGAAGCGAGAGUGGGUAGGUGAUGGAGGUAUUGCUUCAGUUUGUCGAAAGCAGCCUGACACUCUUCCGUCCAGGCAAACUGAUCAGCCUUCUUGAGCACCUUAAAGAAGGGCAGAGCUUUCUCAGCUGAUUGGGACAGGAAGCGAUUCAGCGCGGCCAGGCGUCCAUUUAGCCGUUGGACUUCUCGGAUGUUCCGAGGUGGGGACAUGUCCUGAAUGGCCUUCACCUUGUCGGGGUUGGCCUCAAUUCCCCGGUGGGAAACCAGAUACCCCAAGAAUUUUCCCGAGGUGACGCCGAAGACGCAUUUCUUGGGAUUCAGUUUCAUCCUCGAGUCUCGCAGGACACCAAAGACUUCCCUCACGUCUGACAGAAAGGAUGAAGUGGCGAGACUUUUGACGAGGAUGUCGUCCACAUAGGCAUCCACAUUGCGGCCGAUCUGAUUCUGGAAGAGUCGGUUGAUCAGCCUUUGGUAGGUCGCCCCGGCGUUCUUUAGCCCAAAGGGCAUGGUAGUAUAACAAUAGGUACCUCGGUCGGUGUAGAACGCCGUUUUCUUUUGGUCCUCCUCACCCAUUCCUAUUUGAUGAUACCCUUUGAAGGCAUCUAGGAAGCAGAUGACUUCAUACCCCAUCGCCGCGUCGACGAGGGCGUCUAUCCUCGGCAGAGGAUAGCAAUCUUUGGGGCAGGCCUUAUUGAGGUCGGUGAAAUCUACACAGAUUCUCCAUCCACCGGUGUCCUUUUUGACCAUGACUGGAUUGGACAGCCAGGUGGGAUAUUGGAUCUCGUGGAUCAUCUUGGCCGGCAGGAGCUUGUCGACCUCAUCCGAUAUGGCCUUGCCACGUUCGGGGCCGAAGUGCCUUCGCUUCUGCCGCACAGGUCGGGCCUGUGGGUCAACGUUGAGUUGGUGAGUCAUGAGCUCGGGUGGCACUCCGACCACUUCAUCCGCGGACCACGCGAAGACGUCUCGGUGGUCUUUGAUCAGGGAGAUCAUUUCUUCUUUCAGGGGUGAGGGGAGUCCAGCCCCUACUUGGACCACUUGGUCAGGUUUCGCUUCAUCAAAGACCACCUGUUCCACCUCACCUCCGGGCUCCAGCCUGUUGGGAACUCCUGCCUUCUGAGGGUCGAUGCAGUCAAUGGAGAGGACCGCUGGCCUCUUUUCUUCUGACCUCGGUAGGGGCCGGGGUGUGACUGCUGCUUGAAUGGUGGCGAGAUAGCACUCCCGGGCGGCGCCCACAUCGCUGCUCACCUCGGCCACCCCCGCAGAUGUUGGGAAUUUAAAGCUCAGGUGGUAGGUGGAGUAUACGGCUCUCAAGGCAUUGAGCGUGGGCCGGCCUAUCAGCAUAUUGUAGGGGGAGUCCGCUUUGACCACCGCAAAACUGACAGGCACAGUUCGGCAGCGUGGAUGACGCCCGAUUGUUACCAUCAGGAUCAACAUGCCCUCCGGGUGGACGACGUGUCCCCCGAAUCCCACGAGGGGAGUUCUGACAGGAGUGAGUUGCUCCCUGGUCAGUUUCAAACUUUCGAAAGUUCGGUAGUACAAGACGUCUACCGAGCUUCCGGGGUCAACAUAGACCUUUUUGACUACGUAGUUGUUGGUGAGGACUUCAAUCACAAGAGCUUCGUGAUUGCUGGAGGCCGCAGGAACGGGGUCAGCGGGACCAUAGGUGAUGACCUCGGACAGCCGGGAGCUCGGCUCGGCCACCUCCAUCUUGGCCUGGCGGUAGGUCCGCUUCCGGGAGUUCUGGCUGUCUCCUCCCGUUGGUCCUCCCGCGAUGGUGUUGAUCACCCCAGCGAUGUUGGGGCCGUAGCCCGGUGAUCCAUCGCGCGGAGGCUGCUUGUCCUCCCUACGGUCUUCAGGACCUUGGCAAUGCAUGUUCGUGUCCCGCCGGUCAUCUCGGCGGGGGCCCCGGUUCUCCCGGUGGGAGACGCUUCGGUUGAAGCCUCCAUCCUUGCGGACGAAUUGCUUCAGGUAUCCUUGCCGGAUCAAAUUCUCGAUCUCUCGCUUCAGAUCGUUACAGUCUUCAGUCUCGUGCCCAACAUCCUGAUGAUAGGCGCAAUAGAGGUUUGAAUUCCUCUUAUCUCUCCUCCCCGGAAUUUCGGGAGGGUUGCGGCCGAGGUGAUUCUGCCUCAUCACAGCCAGGACAUGGGUCCGGCUCGAAUUGAGGGGUGUCAGCUCGGCGUCCGAGGUGGACGACCUGCCUUUUACUAUUCGAUCGAAGACACUCCGGCGGUCUCGGAGUUGGUUUGAAGUGCCACUUGGGCCUUGUUCACCUCGGCCUGUGUCUUUCCUCCUCCGGGGAUCUAGCCCCGUACGAGACGCUUGGGUUUCUCGCUUCAUGCGAUUUACAUCUUCACUUCGGAUUCCCUGGUCCACUCUUUCCCAGAGCUCCCGAAGUGUAUGGGGUACUGCCGAUGGAUUUCGGUGACGACUCCAAGGGGCACUCCCUCUGGCACGGACGAGGUGGACCCCGUAGCCGCGGUGGCCGAGCUGCUUUGGCCAGCCGUGGUGGGAGUGCUUUUAGCCGCCGAGGUCUUGGCAGCUUGUCCUUGUGACUUCUUCUUCGGCGGAGGUGCCGAUGGAUUUCGGUGUUGAAGAUCCCUGCCACUAACCCGUUAGUGAAGGCAGCAAUAGUUACCUGCUCGUUCUGGUCAGGUAUCUGUACAUUCUCUUUGUUGAACCUUUGGGCGUACGAGCGAAGUGACUCGCCCUGACCCUGUUGCAGGUUCAAGAGGUAAGCUGAAGUCUUUGUUAUGGGUCGAGACGACACAAAGCGGUGGAUGAACCGGUCUAUCAGCUCAUCCAGGGAGGAAAUGCUCCCCGGCUCUAAACUCCAGAACCACUUUCGGGCAGUCCCAUGUAAGAAGAUGGGGAAAGCCCGACAAAUCACGGCGUCAGGGACGCAGUAGAGUCGGAAUGCGGAGAUGAAGGCGCGGAGGUGAUUCUCGGGGUCACCUCGGCCGUCAUAAGUGUGCAAGUUUUGAAGCUUAAAGUUUGGGGGCACCAUCUCCCCGUUGAUGUCAUCAGUGAAGGGCGGAGCCCUCAUGUAGUCAGAAGCUAGGCCUCCAGAGCGCCGAGGUGGGUCUUCAGCUCGUUUCCCUAGCAGUCCCCGGGAGAACGCCCUGGAGAUGGAGGCUAUUUUCGAGGUCGCCUUGGAGGAGGGGCGCCUAGAGCCACUCCGAGAGGGACGCCCCUCGUCGGAGUCCUCUCCUAAGGGCACUUCAGGAGACUUCGUCGGCCUUCUCUUGGAAGACUCGGCCUUUUCUUUCCCCUGCCUUUUGAGGUACCUUCUUAGCUCCUCAAAAAUGUUAGGGUUGUCCGACACAAAUUCGGCCAUCUUGGCGAUGGCGUCCUCAUUGUUGGGCUGGGUCCUUUGGGACCCUGGCUCUUCAGAGAUGUGAUCUUGCUGGGCUCCCGAGGUCUGCCCAGCCCCAGUUGAGGGAACUCUUCCGCUUCUGGAGCGCGUGGAUCUCAUUUUAACAGCUCUCGUUCCCACAGACGGCGCCAAUUGAAGAGGUGAUUUUUGGUGGGUAAAUGGACCGACCUAAAUCAGGCCUCUCUGAGAUGAGGUGGUAUACCUUUGCUUGUCCGAAGUGGAUGGCGGGGCUUCUCCCCUGGUAUCACUCCGACGAUUAAGUUAGUAUGAGAACGAGAAAGAUAAUGGUAUAUGAGAAUGAACAGUGUGUUUACUUGUUGGGAGUGUGUGGGGUAUUUAUAGAGUGAGAGCGGAGGGCAGGACGGAGGUCUUAUGUCGGUGGGACCCAUGCCCUGCCAUUACGGCUCUGCUCACUGUCUGGUGGCCUGACUCUGACACUGUAGCCGCCUGGACAGGGUGACGAGGAGUCCUUCGCAGUAGCCAUUAAGUGCGACAGUGCUUUUCAGAUAAAGCACUGAUCCUGGGUGAUGUCAGGUGUCCUGACCUCAUCCGCGUGCAGCUGAGGUGGAGGUGCCGAGGUCACCUAUACGGUAGACUAGGGAUCCGGCCGCGCUUUAGGGGAUAUGCCCGAGACACGGAUGAGCUCUGAUGAGGGCCGAGGUGAGUUCACCUCGGACACACGGGGUUGCCGAGGUGAGCACCCUCAAUCUUCUUCCCAGCACUUUAACAAGCUUUUGAAGGAGAUAACUCUGCAUAAUUCAUCCCGAUGAUGAGGAGGCAAAGGUGGAAAUUCUUUAAUUUUGUUACAAAGUUUCGAGGAAACUGGGGUUUAUUAUAAUUGUUUACACUGGAAUAAAUACAGUAGGGGUGGCGGGAUCGACGAUCCCGGAGUUGGGCUGGAAAAGGACGAACUCCAGAGGGACCUGCUUGGGGUUGGCCUUGUAGGCGAAGUAGGGGUAGGCAUUGAUGAGGAAAGGGGAGCCGGUCUUGAGAUGGAAGUUGAGGAUGGCAGUCAAGCAGGGGGUGAGGUCCGGGUGGAACCUGCAGGCGAAGGGGAGGUAGGAGGUCUGGAGGACGGCGAGGGAGUGGGCAGUGGUGAUGGAGACCUUGUCCUGGAGGUUGAGGGAGCAGAGGACGGAGUAGACGCUCUGCAUAGCCCGGAGUAGACGCUCUGAUGUGAUAGAGGAGAGGGAGGUGUCGUUGAAGGUGAAGACCAUAUAGAAAUAAGAUGAAAGUCAAAGGGAAAUAUGAAAAAUAUGGAAGUCCCUAAAAUACCCCUUCUGGGUUCCUAGAUCUGGAAGCCGAUGGAAAUUAUGAGGUGGCGCCGCCGCUAAGUUCCUUGAUUGGAAUCAAAAUAUAAGUUUAGGGAUUAAAUUGGCUAUAAAUAAUGUAUAGGGACUAAAUUGACGGAAAAAAAAAGUUUAGGGACUAAAUUGACGAUUUUCCCUUAACCAUGAAGGCAUGAAACUUUUACAUGACAUAAAAAGGAAGAAAGAGACAUGAAAUGUUUCAAUUAUGCGCAUACACUAUGAUAUAGAGGUAGAUAAAAGUUUUAACUUCCUAUUUCACAUGUAGCGGCAACUGGCAAGGAAAAAUAUCAAUCCAUUUCACAAAUAGGUCAUAGAGAUUCCGGGUUCUAAUCCCUCUUUCCCAUUCCUACUUCUUAAAUUCCAUAUUUUCCUUAAUUAAAAAAAAAGAAAAAUAUCGAUCCAUUUUCUCUAUCUCUACCAAAAGAAGGUAACAUUUGCGUUUUGCAAGGUUGUUAUAUCAAUAGCAGUCUUAUUUAUUUAUUACCCUCCCACCCUUUUUUUCAUACGUUUCCAUCCCUCAACUACCAGACAUGCGAUUCAAAUCUUGAACAUUGCUUCAAAACAUUGUUAUAUCUAUAGCAGUCAUUCACUCAUCUGUAAUAUGCAUCAAGCAUUCCACAGAAAAUGCUCAAACUACAUACAAGUCAAGAACAUUGCUCCUGCUCUAACAGCAUGCAAGCUACCUAUUGCAAACUCCAAGGAAUGUAAUGCAACAAAGCGCAAUGGACUAUCUUUUAACAGCAGCGAGUUUCUUAUACAGGUCCUCAAUUCCCCCCUACAAACAAAAAUAAAUGAGGAAAAAAAAAAACAAUAGCAUCAUUGCAGGUUUUUUUCCCACUUCCAAGAAUGUUGAGUGGUUGGUUUAGGAAGAAACACAUGGAAGCAAGCAAAACAAGGAGGAGCGGAGUUAGGUUACCUUGUAGUGCUUAAGUAACUGAUCUCUUUUCUUCUUCAAAGUUGGAGUCACCAAAUCUUUUUGCAGCUCAAAAGGUUGGGGUUCCAGAAUGAUUCCUUUGAUAUGCUCAAAGCCUCUCAGCUGAAAUUGUAUAAGAUCAGAAGUUGAAAAAGAUGCUAUACUUCAUUUAUGUUCAACAAACAAUAUCAUAUAACCAUCAGAUACUAGAUAGUCAUCUAGGAUGAGGCAAUGAGAGAUAUCCUACAACGUUUUGAGUUUUCCAAAGUAAACUGAGAAGGAUGAUGUUUACAGUCAAAUUGAAGUAGAGAAGAAAUUGAGUAAUAAAAUUAAACACGUUGGUUAUUGAUCAGAAAGGCAUCCUCUUUCAAACCAAAACAGAUUAUUUAUCCGCUUUCAGAUGCUUAACAAGUGUUGAAGUUGUUUGACAUUAAAUUCAUUCUCUAAGACACUAGACUAACACCAGUAGAUAGUUCUAGGCUAAAAUUCCAGGAAUAUAAAACCAAAAUAUGGGGGUGCGGGAAUUGUUUAACUUUUCAAGGUUUGCAGAAAAUGAAAAAUGACCUUGUUUCUCUGUGCUGUGGACUUAAGCUCCUGAAGGAUAUAGUCUUGCAGCUGGUUAAGGGAACAUAAUCCAGAAAAGGAAUCUCGAUAGCCAAUUUCCCGUGCCCAUUUUACCGUGUUCUCCUCAUUUGGUACAACAACAGCAAUCAGCAUUGACUUGAAGCUAUCCCCAUAGACCCAGAUCUAACAGGGAAUUAUCAAACACAGGCUCAACAUGGUGGCUGGGCAGAUAUAAUACGAAUAUAAUCUGAUUAUAUGAACCAGAAAUUUGAUCCUUACAUCUUCAAUUGUUGGCGAAACACAAUAAACUUUUUCCAGAUAUUCAACUGCUACAUAUUCUCCCUUUGAUAGCUUAAUUAGAUUUUUCUUUCUAUCGAUAAUUCUUAUAACACCAUUUUCUGACAUCUCCCCUAUGUCACCUGAUUGCAUCAGAGGAUGAAAUGAAUAAGAAAACAUACAGUUCAACAACUUUCUAGUAGGAAAAAAAAAAAAAAUCACCUGUGUGGAACCACCCAUCUUUUAUAGUUUCUCUUGUUAAUUCUGGGUUCUUGUGGUAUCCCGCAAAAACCAUCUUCCCUCUGACACAAAUCUCACCACGAGGACGAUCUCCAAAUGGAUAGUAGCCCAUUUCUGGAACUUCCUCCAGACGCACUUCAUUAUAUACGAAUGCAGAACCAACUGUUCCGAUCAAGCACAUUUCGUCAGGAAAGCCAACAGCGGCCAAUCCACUGGUCUCUGUUAACCCUGGAUAAACAAAAUUGCGCUCACUCUGACUGGGAUAUAUAAACAUUUAGAUACAAAAGUGAAUUCACUGCAUGAUCCUGGAAAAUUUAAAACAAUUUCAUGCCAUGAGCUAAAUAUAUCCAUUGGCAAGUUUCAAGGAUAUAUAUCAGAAAUGAACAAAAGUCAUCGGGAAGAGUACAUGCACAUUUUAGUUACAUCAAAUUCUGGCAGCUAGACAAAGUUUGGUUCUCCAAUAUCAUGUAAAAUAUCUACCCUGCAAAUUAAUUAUAUUUGCAACAACUUGAACCACGCCUUCCCAGUGAAUUUCAUAAUGGAUUGCCAAUCUCCAACAAUAAAUGUGUCAGGGUUGUCAAGUAGCACACCCUAAACUUCUAUCUGUGGCAACUCAAUAUCUAAAAAAUAUUUUCUUGUUUGACCCAAUUGGUCGUUCAAUCUUCAUUCUCGGACUGAAACUCUGCAAUUAAACAUUUGUACUUCAAGAGUAAUGCCGGCACUAUCUAGACUGAGAUUGGGGAAUCAUGGGCUGCUAUUUUGAGGAUGAAUCUAGAACUAUUUAUUUACUCGUUCGAGGAUAAACCAGUAAGCCAAAGAAACCAAAGAUGAUUGAAUCAGUUUGAAAAGUUAAAAAAGCAGUUGAAUCAAGCCCUACUCAUCAGCUGGAAAGAAUUUUACCUUCAUAAAAUAUAUAGUGUUGAUAGUUGUUACUUUAAGUUAACACUGUAUUAGUACUAUGGAAGAGAUGCUCCCUAUUAAUCAUAAGUUGAAUACCAUAGCCUUGCAAAACAAAAGCACACGAGGUAACCCGCAAGAAUUCUUCCACCUCACUGCUUAGAGGUGCACCACCAGAAAUUAUUAGGCGAACCCUGCCACCUAACCUGGCCUUGACCUAAUUACCAAAAAGAAGAAAGAUAAGUCAAUUGAUCACAUUGUUUUUGCUUGACCAUGAAAAGAAGUUGCCUUUAUGAUUGGAAGCCAUUUUGAAGAUACUUAAUAGCACAGUAAAUCAACAAAUUUUGCCCAACAAUCAUAUUAAGGAUCAAGCAGAUAUGUCCUAAAUCAGUACCAUGGGAUAAAAGGCUUAAGAUACUUAAGAUACAACUUUUUAGUGUCUGCCUUAUGCAGAAUCUAGUAAAACGUGGAAGCGAUAGAUCUUUUUGUAACAUUCUAAUUUCCCUUUUUUCUAUUAUUUAUACAAUCAGCUAGAUUAAUGCUAACUAUACUAUUCAAAAUACAUGACAUUCAGGAUUCUUUCACUGAAAAAAAAAACAUAAAAAAUUGGAAGUCAUGAAUAAAAGUACAUGUACUACCUUCCUAAAAGCCAGAAGAUCUGCUAUUGGAGAUGCAUCUUUCUGUUUGUAGCCUAGUUUCAUCCACUUAAGCUUGCUGAGACGAGGCAGAAAAUCAAUUUGCAUGCAGCGUAAAAAAUGUUACAGGGAGAAGUAUGAACAAAACAACCACUUAAUGAAGAACAAGGAACGACAACUAAUGAAAAUAUUUACUAGUUGUAAAGCAUGCCAAAAAUUUUCCUCCUCACUGGAUUGAGUUCUUCAAGUGCUUUUAGAACCCCUGCAGGAGAGGCCACAGCAUUUGCUAGUUAAAAAUGUUCGAGAAAAUAUGCAUAGAUGAUCAAUGACUAGCAAAAUUUCCUUACCUUCACGCACCCUUUCAAAAACUCGAGGUACUCCUGCGAGAAAAGUUGGCUUCAACUCCAUUAAAUCAUCCUGUAGCUCACUGAUAUCCUUGAUGAUGCACAAGCAGUAGCAUUAGCUAUUCGUCAAUCAUCCUUAGACUACAUAAGUUUGAGAGCUACACCAUAGUAUUUGCUUAUGAAAAAGCUUGUAUUGAUUAGACGUGAAAUGAACUUAAUAACAUCAUAAUCUUCAAAAUAUGGAAUCGACACAAAACCAAAGGAUUGCCAUUUUUUGUUAAUUAAAUGCUUGUGUUUCAGCACCUUCGUAUACCUUUUCUUUACAUUUUCUAGUCAAACCAUAUCAUUUACUUGAGCAAGAAAAUUAAAAGUAAAAGCAGAUGAUGGCAGUAUGCUGUGCUAUAGAUUGAAGUCUUACCCCAUGAAAGUAACCAACAGCAGCACCCUUGUGGAAAAAGUAUUCCUCAAUCAUACGGUCAAGGAUGUGAGCAAGAGGGAGGAAAGAUAUGUACACAUCAUUCACUGUCAUCUGGUCACAUAUUUUCACUUGAAGUAAUUAAUACAGGCUCAGAAAAGAGGAAGAUACGAAUCAAUAAUAAAUGGAAAAAAGAUUUAGACACAAAUAUUCAUAUAUCUGGAUCAUGCACAACCUGGAAGAGCAAACAGGUAGAUUUUGCAAAGCAAAACAUCCAGGCAAUUUGAAAGUGAAAUCAUACAGUGUUCAAGAAGUAGAAGAUUUCAUAUAAUAAGCAUGAAUACGUGUAUGAUCUGCUAAACAGAUGCUACAUACCUUAUCUUCAAAUUGUUCCAUGAAAAUAUCAAUUCCUCUGAUGCAUGUUGAAAUGUUUUCGUGAGUCAAUAUAACACCUUUUGGACUUCCACUGGUUCCACUAGUGUACAUUAUUGUACAGAUAUUAAAUGGCUGUGGUGGCAAGAGCUCUGAGGGGUUCUCUUUUCCCUAAUAAAACAGGGUAACAAUUCAAUUAGGAGGUGGAACUACGUAUAUCAACACUACUCAUACAUGCAUGGCAACUGAAGAACAGAUCCAGAGUGCAUAAAGUACCUUGAAAACCUAAGAGGACAUAUCUAAGUUUUAAAGACCGGGAAAAAUUAUUGCAAUGGGAACUGAAACAUGAGUGACUCAAGACCACCCUGCCAUAAUAACGGCUUGAAACACUGGGAAACUGAAACAUGAGUUACUCAAAGACAGCAACAAAAACAGCUUCACUUCUACAAAUUUACACUUGAACCAUUUGAACACAUUCAAAAUGCUCAGAAGAAUAUCAUUCCAAUAAUGCACUAUAUUCAUAACUAAUCCCCUACUAUAUAGCGACAUAACAAGAACUUUAAGCACAGAAGGGCCAAAAGGCCAUGUGUUGCUUUAACUGCUUAAGUGAAAUAAUUUAGGCAAAGUAUGUAUUAUCAAAGUGUGUUUGUUAUACAAGCUUAAGAUUCUAAAUCAUGUGAGGAAACGAUGUGGUAAACAAAAAGUCCUACCUGAAUAUCUUAAGGUCACCUACUUGACCAAUUGGAGAAAGUAUGACAAAGUACGAGGGGAGCUCAGACAAAGUACGAGGGGAGCUCAAAAGUAUGGUUAAGUCCCUCCUUAAAAGCCUAAUAAUGUUGAUAACCAGAUGUCAACAAACAGAACACUUUGGAGAUUUUCCUUGAAAAUUCAAUACAAUCUGAAACAAACUUGACAAAUUAUGCUGAUGUAUAAUUAAACGAAUAAUGCUAACAGCUUAGAAUAAAGGAUGCAGCUAGUGUAUGUGGUUGGUGCACAGAACAUUUUGCAGAUGCAGGCCAGAAGAAAGAGUGAGAAGAAAAUAUGACAUUUGCUUUCUGAAGUAAUGGCCUAGGAAGCUUACAUUGAUGAUAGAAAGAAAAAUGCGUAAAAGAGUAAGAGACAUACCAUAUGAAGAAAAUCGUUCCAAGAAUAUGAUUUCACUCCAAUGGAGGCUGCUCUGUUCUUCUCUUCCUCUGUCAAUGAAGUGAAGCAAAUUAUCACUGCAACAAGGAAUGAAGCAAAUAUAAGUAUCGUGCGACAAGAAGGAUUGAAGCAUGACUUGAGAAAAUGCAUUCCAAUUGCACAGCAAGAAUUUAAAGGCAGACUCGCACUUCAGUUGUCGAGCAUGUUUGCAAUCAGAACUCAAAAGCUGCAAGGGUAAAACAGAAACAUUUGAUCUGUUUUUAUUAGUUAAUUAAAAUAAGUUAAAUUUAUGACAGAAAUUAAAAAAAGGUCAAGUUUUAUAAGCUUUUUACUUCUUUCACUUUCUUAUCCUGUAUGAAAACAAAAUCAAUCUCUGCAUGAUCUAUUAUAAAAUCAACAGCUCCUGGUCCUGCCGCCCAAACAGAGAAGUCAAAAGAACACGUUAGCAGUUACGAGCUCAAAUAUCUAAAAAAUUGACAAACUAUACAUGCUUCUCAACUCAGUUAUAUUGCCUUGCAUGAUAUAGGAUGAAAAAGGAAAAGAAAUAGCUAGUAGAAUGCCACGCGAAUUUAACUGAAAAUUCUACUAACACCAAGAAAUCAUAUUCAUGCAUGCUCAUUCUCUUUCGUGUCUCUCAGCUUGUCUGACAAACCAGGAGCAAUUGUUAUUGAACUUUGAAAGUACGGAGAGAACUCCUCAAAGUCCAUUUUCUGAAGCCUUCUUUAGUAUAUAGGUUAAAGAGAUGGAUUUUAGUGGCAACACAUACACUGUAACUUUACAAACAUAUAAAUAAUCUUUCAAAUGGUUACUUUGUAUCAUUUGGGAUUUUGAAAAUUCACAACAAUAUCUACAAAUCAGGGUACAAAUACCUACAGGGAUAAGGAGAUAAAAUUUUGAUAGAUCUGAGAGAACUAGUGGUUAAGAAUAAGAAUAGUGCGCAACUUUCAAAGUCACAUAGCCUGUAACAUUUCUAUAUCGCAAGUUGCGAGAGAGAAAGGAAGAACACAGAAGCAUUAAUUAAGCCAAGCAGAUGAGCUGAAGCUUUAAAUGGAAGCAUGAAGAUUAACUUCACCAAGCGUAUCGUAGAGAGGUACACAAAUUAAACUCUGGGAACCGCAGGCCUGCAUAGCAUAUUCAAAGUUAUUCAAACUGUUCGGGGAUGCGACAGAUUGUAUUCAUAGAAUGGAAGAGCUGCAUAAACUCAAGACAAAGUAUACUAAUAAAACAAAUGGAAAGUCACAUUCAUCACGGAGAUAGAUUAUUCAAACAAACCUCCAUUGCAACAAUCCACUGCGGACAAUUUGAUCCGUAGAUUCCUAUCCGGGCGCCCUAUAAAUAGCAUAAUCCAACCAAAGUUUAUGUUUUCAGGCAAAUGUCUACACCUAAUAUUUCUAUUUGAGCAACUGAACAUUGAUAUAUAUCUUGUAGAUUCUGUAGUAGUAUGCAAACAGAAGAAGAAAAAAUUAAUUCAAAUGCUCCAGUAAAGCAUUGGUGCUUUCUUACAGGUUGAAUUCCGCAUGCUCGUAGCGCUGAACCAGCGCAGAUAGUUUCUUGGUAAACUUCUUCAUAUGUUUUCCAGACAUAAGGGCCCCACUACAAACAAAAAAAAAGGAAAAAAAAAAAGUCCAGAUGAAAGAAGUUGUUUUAAGAUAUAAAAUCUGCAACUUUUAUGCUAAAAGAAUGUUAAUUGGAAAGUAAAAGUUUUAAUUUUUAUUAAAAUGGUUUCAGAUAUAAACCACAUUGAAUUAAAUAGAGUUUAUAUAAUGCAUGAAGGGCAAAAGUGCAAAAAUAAUAUCUAAGAGCCUGUUUGAUAAUCCAAUUCAGCAGUUACAUCUAAUAGAUUUAGAUUUUAGCAUCUUCAUUUGUGUUUAAAAACAAAAAAUUGAAUAUCUGAAUUAAUUAAGAGACACUAAAUUUUCUAAACAAAAUUUGCUCUAAAAAAAUAAGUGAUAAGAUAUUCACUUAUCAACUAAUAUAAUAUACACUCAAAUAUAUCAAUUUAAUACUUAACAAUUCAGUAACUUAACGAAUUUUGAUUUUAGAAUUUAAUUUUAUCAAGCGCACCCUUAGAGUACUGCAUGUUAUUAAAACAGGAAAUUAAUCUUCUAUCGACAAAUUAAUAACAAAAAGAACUAUGAAAGUCAAUCAAUCAAAGAUAAAUUUAAAGAGAAAAAGCACAAAAUCAAGUUGAGUGGGGCAAGAGAGUUAAACAAAAUCUUGCAGGGGCUAAAAUAAAAAGUUAAAAUAAAACUCUAUAAAACGUUAUAGGCAAAAGUAUAAUUUCUCAAAAGUUAGGAGAAGGGAGCUGACCGCCCCUGCUGGUCAGUCCUCCCUCUGCCACCGUGCGACUAGCAUGCACUCAAGAAGAAGAAGAAAACUGAAAAUAGAAGGCAGGUAGUAGAUGAUCAAUGAAGACCUGGUGAUUGAGAAAUUCACGCCAUCCUAGCAUCCUAUUUCUUCGAUAUUUUUCAACUGAGGCCCUGUCAAACACCAAUAUCCAUCCCAGACAUUAAAAAAAAGUAUUGUGAGUAUAGAUAGUACUUGCGGAAUGAGUUUAACUGAUAAAGAAUGACCAGCCAUACCAUAAGAGAAGCAUGACUGAUGACACUAAUGCUGGUGCUAGACAUUGAUUCAUGAGUAGUAAUUUUUUUUUUCACCUGAAUAUUUCCCAAGCUGUGGAUAAAUUAGGAUCAGUAGGCGGAAAGUCAUGCCGGGCUAUUAGAUUUCGAUAUACGGGGCCAACCGAGGGCUGGCCGUCCCGGCCUUCCCUCCCUUCUUCCACCUUAACUGCAAACAUCUUCAUGGCUGUAGUGUAAUCUGCAGAAUGCCAGAAACAAGUCAAUGCACGAAUUUCUUUGGCCCGGAUCCACAAGCUUAUUUGACUAGUUCCACGAUGGUACUGAUGUCCAGCAAAAAAGUGGCGUGUGCAUGUAGUAUUUAGAUGCCUACGCCACUAGGCUAGUACGAAUUAGCUCAGCCAGUAAGGUUUUUUUUUUUUUUUUUUUUUUUUUUUUUGUCAAUUGUCAACCUUACUCCUACUCCUACUCUAUCUAGGGAGAGGCUCAACUGAGCCUAUGGGGACCGAUGGGGACAGAACCACCACCGGAUCAGACGGGUGCACAACACACCCAUCUGGAUUUGAAGCAGAGCCACAAGAGUGGCAUUUUGGUGGGAGGCAAGGGACCAAAGCCUUACCAGAGCCACAAGGUUUGAACACUCAGCCAGUAAGGUUGGAUUACUUCUUUUUACGAAAGAUAAAAGUUACGUGUUUGAUUGUUGUUGAUACAUCAAGAUUGUGUUUAUAUGUCAAUCCGUAUGUCUCUUGUAACCUAUAAUCAAGCGCUUGUCCUAACCUAACCUACUGUGAUGAUCGGAGUUAAAAUCAUUCAAAUUUGUUAUUAAUAAAAGAUUUUUUUUAAAAAAAAAUUAAAGAAGAUGCAACUAGCAUUCAGAGCUUGUGAUUUCGAUGGCCGCGCUAAGAUGAAAAAUGCUACGUAAGUGGCCAAAACUUUUUUAUAUUCCACAGUUUUGUGGCCAUGUAGUGUUUUCGCCCUUCUUGUCUUUGUCAAAAGUUUGGUUAUGUAAACGGACUAUUCUGUUUCAACUCGUGGCAAAUGCCAAGCAGUUGAUUUGCGUGCUAUUAAAAUUGGACAAAGGAAGCGCGGCUGAAAUUUUUGGUGUAAUUAUUUGGUUGUUGUAGUCACAAAUUUUAUUUGUGUAUGUACGCUAAUUCACUGUAUGAAUAUAAUCGCGUCUAUAAUUGUACAUCAAAUUAUAGAUAAAAUACAACAAAUCAAAUCGAAUCGUAUCUAACACAACUACACUCAACCAUACCUAAGUCAAAUAAAUGCUCUAAUUUGGUUGAAAAUUGUGACAGGAGGACCGAAAGCUCAGUUUGUCAGUUUUAAAUUCAGCUGGUGGGAUUUUUGUUUCAGAUUUGUACAUUCAAGUCCUACCUGCCAAAUCUUGCCAACUUCCCUUUUAUUUUUGUUAUUUAUUUUUUGGUUUUACAAACGGCAAUUCCGACCAUGUUAUUGUAGUGGAAAAGAGAACCCAACUCGGUAAAAUAAGGAAUUAAACAAAAAAAAAAAAAACCAUUUAAACUCAAAAGUGUGCACUAAUAUAAGUAUAACCUCUGAAUUUUGUUAACUGCAAUAUCGCCAACUUACCUUAUUUUUUCCCCCUUUUCAUCUGGUGACUGGUGACACAUUGUCACAGUAAUAACUAAUAAGAUGUCAUAAUCAAAAGAACUAGAAUGAACAAAUUAUAUGCCGUAAUCAACAGAAAGAUCAAGGUAAUUUGGGAGUAUUUUAAAUCUUUUGCGCAAGUAAAUUUCGGAAAAAUGAAAAUUUCCAUAUGGGGAAUUUCCACCAAACCAAAAUUCAACUAAAAAAAGUGAGCAAGAAGAUAAAGAGUGGCUGAUACGAUAGUGAUGAUGCAGGCGUAGUUUCUGCUGAACUUGUACUAGAAUUGAAACAGACACAACACGCGUAAUUUGUCGAGGGAGUUGGUAACUGAGAAUGGAGGCUAAAUAAGGAAAAAUAAUCUUAUGCAUGAAAAUGGGAGAAAUGAAAUUUUGAUCUCUAAUGUUUAGCAUGUGUGUAAUUUUACUUCCUAAAGUUUUGAGAAAAAUAAAUUUGGUCCCCAAUAUUUGGUAUAUGGUGCAACUUAACUCCUUAAAGUUUCGACAAAAAUAAAUUUGCUCCUUAAUGUUUCUAAUUCGAGCAAAUUUAGUACAAUUAACGGAUUCUCUCAAUUACUUAUGGAACCAAUCACAUGCAAGCAUAUUUGUUAAAUUAUAUGCAAAAAUUAAUUGAGUUUUAGAGUUUUUUGCUUGGGAGUAACGAGGAUAGAGAGUUAAAAUAAGUUCUAAAUCAUUGAACUAGGUGCUCGGAUUGAUUUCAAUUUUCUAGUUUAAUAAUUUAUUUUACUGAUUAAUUAGUUAGUACGUGAACUCUAUGGCCCUGUUUGGCACUUGAGUUUUUUGCCAAGUUUGUCUGCUACAAGUUUUUUAAAAACUUUAACUAUAGUAAUCUCAAAAAACUUCUCAAAAUUUUUAAACUAUACAUUUUAAAAUAUUCAAAAAUUUACACAUUUCAAAAAUUUUUUAAAAAACUUCUACUAUAAGUUACAGUAAAGUUUUAGACAAACACCCAAAAAACUCAUUUGUCAAACGAGACCAUAUUAGUCCUCAAUCUUGUUAUUUAAAGUUAGUCGCUACUUUGCCACUUUAUUUUCAAGUUCAAUUUAACAGACACGUGCCUGCAGGUGACUAAAUUUUAUCAACAAUUAGACAAAAUUCUUCAAAUAUCCUAAAUCUGCUUUAAAUUAGAUAUAGUGGUGGCUAGAUCUGUUCUUGCCAAAACUUCAAGCACUAAAACUGCACAAGUGCUAAAUAUUAGGGACUAAAUUUUCUUUAGUUAAAACUCUAAAAACUAAAAUCUCACGUGUUAAACAUUAGGAACAAAACUGCAAUUUUCUCUAUGAAAAUGAAGGAUAUCCUGAUUCGGCUCCCUUACUUUUUUUUUUUUUCCCACAUUUAGCUCUAGUUUCUUGUACAACAGCGCCAGCUCAAUUGUCAUUGGUAAAUUGUACCAUGCAAUGUAAACACUAGCAUACCCUAUGUUGAUAAUAAAGUACUAUCGCUAUAAUUUGGUGUGCAUUUGAGUUAGUUAGUUAGUUAGUGUGCUAUAGUUAGUUAUUUAACCUCUGCAAUCCGUUCCUAUUUAAUUGACUUGAAUAACCGAACCCCUUAAAUUAAGAAAAUUAGUUAAUUUAUAUAAUUUAAUAAAAAUUUUACCUGACUUUCCAAAACUACCUUUUAUCUUUCAUAUUUUUAACUACUUUUAUGUUUAAUACUACAAACACUGCAUUUGAUUUCUUAUAAUCCCGACUCAAGAGAGUUGAGAAUAUAAAUAAGUGUAAAUUUGGAAAAAAGUUCAUAAAUGCUUUCUUGAUAUAAUAAAAGGACAGAUAAAAGGGAACAAUGGGUUGGAGUCAUUUAAAUAGGAAGGGAGGGAGUAAUAAAUUUAGACACUAACACAAUAAAUUUUUAGCACAAAUUUUAGUAUGAAAAAUUUGCUGUGUUAUUUACAUGUUCUUAUGUUGGUGUUUACAUUUAUUGUUUUAGUGUCCGCCUUUGUUCUGGUAGUAUUUACACUGUAUUAUAUAAUUGCCGCUGACAACUAUAGAGAAUCUUGAUCCGAAAGGCAUUCUCUUGUGAUGGAUCCAAUGGUUGAUGGACGGAAGAACUCGGGAUCGUUAUAUUGGGAUCAUGGUCUCUACAAUUUCCAAUGGCAACUUCAAGGUACAGUGUAGUCGCUAUUACAAUAAAUAUAGACACUAAAAUAACACAUCUAAAUACUAACAUAACAACAAGUAAACACAAAACAAAUUUUUUUUUCUUACAGAAAUUUGUGCCUUAAAAUUUGUUGUGUUUUUUAUAUGUCUUGUGCCUUAAAAUUUGUUGUGUUUUUUUACUGUUUUUACAACAGCAUAAAGGUAAUAAAUAACAACUUCCACUGUUGUUAAGGGGCAUAUAUACAAUCACUGUUAUCAUCAUAACAUUGAACAACAUCAUCUUAUUCAUUUUUUUCCUACUUCCAUUCAGCUUUUUUUAAUUUACAUGCUACAAUUUUGUUUCUUCAGACAAUUUCUUCAGAUUUUCAUUCUUUUUCUCCAAGUCUUCUACUAGUAACCUCAAAGUUUCAUUCGCUUGCAUGAUUUUAUUUUAUUUUUUGUUGCUUGCUGUGAAUUAGUCUCUUUGAAAUAGCAUGUGCAUACAGUGCUAAUUAACUAAUUAGUCUCUUUGAAAUGGCACGUUAGUAACUAAUUAACUAUUUUCUUGAUCCUCUAAGAAUAACAAGUAGUAGCAUUAUCCAUAGUCGAGGCAGAGUAUAUGGCAUGUACAUAUAGUGCUGCUCAAGCAUUAUGGUUAAGAAGAAUGCUCGAUUUUCUACGACACAAGCAAAUUAAUCCUACCAAAAUCUAUUGCGAUAGCAAAUCUUUUAUUGAAUUGUCAAAUAAUCUAGUAUUUUAUGGAAGAAACAAGCACAUUGACAUCAAGUUUUAUUUUAUUCGUGAACUAGUUCGAGAUUAAGAGAUUACCAUUGAAUAUUGCAAGAGCAAAGAUUAAGUUGAACAUGGAACAUGGAGCUGUUUCUCAAGUUGAAGAAGAUGCUAGGCAUGGUGCAAUUAAAAAUAUUGGCCCCGUUUGACAAGUAAGUUUUUUAGGUAUUUGUCUAAAAUUUUACUAUAACUUACUGUAGAAAUUUUUUAAAAAUUUUUUGAAGUGUUUUUUUUUUAAUAUUUUAAAGUAUAUAGUUUAAAAAUUUUGAAAAGUUUUUUGAGGUUAUUGUAGUUAAAAUUUUUCAAAAACUUAUAGCAGACAAACUUAGCAAAAAACUUGUCUGCCAAACAAGGCCAUUGGUUUAAAGGGGCAAUGUAGGAUAUUUAAACUAAGUCCUUUAAUUAUUUAGUUUGUUUUGUUUAGGAAACUAGUAAAUAAGUCCAUAUAUGAUUUGUUAGUUACUGUACAGUCCAAUUACUAUAUAAAGACCUUAUAUCGAUAUUUCUCGUAUUAGAGAAUUAUCACCUAGCUUUAAUUUGCGUCAUUUACCAUUUAUCAUUUGUGGCCUCGACUUGUAUUUCGUCUUAUUUCUGCAGUCGUUCUUUUACAAAAAUAUAAGAAAGCUUUUAUUUCGUGAUUAUUUUGCUUGUAAAUUGAUUUGAGAGCUUUGUUCUUAUAAUUAUAAAUAUUUUGAGGUCCUACAAACAUUUAAACAUUUAAACCGAAAAAAAAUGCACCAGCAAAAUAAAAAUCAGGUAUUCAAUUCAAUGAGGAAAAACCGAAAACCUGGCAAAAUCAAUGCUACUUUGGCCAUGGCCCAUCCUAUAUUAGAACAGAAGCAUUCUAAGUCUGUCAUGUUCUACCAUUGCGGCAGCAUAUUGGCUGACAAAAUAAUUCAAUUUAAACCACAUAAUUAAAGAGCUAUGGAUAGAAAUCCAGUCAAUGCCAAACCUUGAUCAACAAAUUGUAGCUGAUACUAAUAUUUCCCACCUGUCAAACCUGCAACUAAAAUGGGAAGCUCUUCUUCAAUUUUACAAUUCUACAUGGACAACCCAAUUCAAACAGUGAAACACCAUAACACAUUAAAAAAUACCUAUUCAAGAAAAUUGCUGAAAAAUGGAAAAGAGGAGUAGCUAAACCUGCAAAAUCUCAUUCUAAUAUGCUGUGUACUUUACAGUCCAGAAACUAUAAGCAAAUGAGAAGAAUUCAAGCAGCCGGAGUUAUGGUAACGGCAUAGAAACCAAACUGCUUCACUAAUUCCCGUUCUGUCAUUCUUUUAGCAAAUCAUUGAUUAAGUUUGUAAUAAAAUCAGCUUCUACACACAAAUGCACAAUGGCAUAGACUCUCUUUAAGGAUUAAACCUGUAAUUAUAAAAGUUACUAGAAGGCAGAUAAAGUCAUUUAGCACUAAUUACCAAGCAUUGAACCGUUAGACAUUCUGCUGAAUCGAUUUAGGAAACCAAACCUUGAAUCACUAAAUUACCCUUCCAUGAGGAGAUGGAAUUUGUCACCAUUUAUCCCCAGAAACUGCUUUUAAUCUGUGUUUACGCUUUUAAGCUGUAAUAAGAGUCGAUUGUUUGCAUUUCCUUUCUUUUCUUCCCUAAACUAGCUCUCCAAAUGUUUAUUUCCCUUUUUAUUUCUCAUUUAUUAUUAUUUUUUAAAUCACAACCUAGGACUGGAAUAUUAGGUUAAAUGAAAAAAGUAAUUUUUAAGAAAGUUCAUAAAAGUCUAUUACCAUUUCUUCUACUGUUUAAAUUUCAAGAGAAUUAUAGAUUUUUAUAUAUUCCUCUGUGUCUAGUAAAACUUGCAAUAUAGCAAAAAAUAUUUGCUUAGAAAAUAAGUUUUCCGUCCAAAAUUUUCCGGUCAAAUAAAUGUUUAUCAAAUUCAUCUUCUCGCGCUUUACUAUCCAACAAGGCCAUUAUUCUCUUUAUCGAAACAAAACACAAGUGGCUUCUUACCCAAAAAAAAAAAAUGCAAGUGGUUGUCAAUUUUUAUGUUUGCUUUCUAUCUGGAUUUAGCUUUAUAUCUGGAGUUUACACAGCAGGACGGGACAUAGGAGAACUAGAAUUUGAUUCCAAAAUGAUUGUCUGUUUCCUAAGUGAUUGGCUAGCUUGCAUUUUGUCUUAUCUAAUUAGCAUUAUAAGCCUAUCUUCCAAGCUCUUAUUUCCUGGAUAACGUCCUAAAAUUUUCAAGUUCCUCAACAACAAUAACGUGGUGCACCAGAAUUUUGCACUUGAAAAUUAAUCAAACAGCAGGGAUGAGGAUACUUAGAUAUCUAUCUCUUUUGUAGCCAAAUGUUAUCGUCUCUUGAAUUUCCAAGGUUGAUUUCUUUUUUUCCUAAGGCAUCCUACAAUAAUAAUAAGAAUACUUUUUGCAGGCAUCCUAAAGCUCUUUCCUCAUGAGACGUAUUAACAAGUAACCUAAUGAGAAUAAUACGUAAACUUUAGUCAUAUUACAUUAACGACGCAUAUCAUACCAUUAUAUCUUAUCAAAUCAACAAAGGAAUGAUUUUGGCACUCAACAAAAAUCUUUAAGCAUGCACUUCGCUCCCAUUUUUUCUCAUUAAUUAACAUGACUUAAUAGCCAUGCACAAUUUUCAAUUACAAAAGAUUACCCAUCUAUCUUUAAAUUUUGUUGGCGAUCAUCCUUUUUUUUUUUCCAAAUAUUUGCAAUGUUUUUAAACUCGGACCGGUCAGUGAACCGGGGAGGUGGCCGGUUCGCGGUUCGACCGGUCCGACCGGUCCAACCGGCCGGUUCAAAGGUUCACUGUUUUUUUUUUUUUUUUUUUUAAGUGUUAAGUACUAAGCAGGUUUCAUUCUACACUUGAACUUUACCAACAUAACUUAAUUUAAGUUAUGAUAAUAAUAAAUUUUCUAAAAGUUAUACACAAAACAUGGAAUGAUAAAUAUAAUUAAAAUAUCAUAAUUCACCACAAAUUUUCAUAAAUUCAUUAUAAACAUAAAUAGAUACAAUCCAAAUGUGCACCAAUUAUCACAAAUAAAAACACAAAAAUAAAUAAAUUAAAUAUUGAAAUUCUUUUACAACCCUUAAAAAAAUCCAUAAAAGAGUUCAAGUUAAGACAAACUAUUUGAAUAGCAAACUUUUAUCAGUGGCAUGAUAAGCAACCACACCACCUUCACAAUUUCAUCAACUUAAGCUGAAAAUGUUAAAAUUUUAUUAUAAAAAUAUAAAUCUAAUUGCUCAAACUAAAAAAAACUAAAAAUUUUUGAAAAACAAAUAUACAGUUAAACACAUAAAAAAUUAAUUGCUACUAAACAUUACUAAUUAACAUGUUAUAUUAAAUUCAAUGAUCCUAUACCAUUAAUUAUUUUAAAUUCAAUUAUCAAUAGCUUCGAUUAUGUGCCAACUACCAUAUUUUUGACCAACCCAAUGUUAUUAUUUGUAAUUCCUAUCCAAUUCCUACACGGAUGUGCACUACUUUUGCAAAAAUUUCAUCCUUAAUUAAUCGAAUAAAAAUAAAACAAAAAUGAGGGAAACAUAUGAAAAUUGAGGGGAAAAAGAAGAAAAUGCAAAAAAUCAACUAAAGAUAAUAAUAUAGAAAAAAACCUUGAAAAGAAAAAAAUUAAACUUACAAAAAUGUUGGAAAACAAGAAAAGUUGAAAUUUUCAACUUGUUUACAAUCUGCUAAAGAUAAUAACCUGAUAAUAAUGGUGAAGACUUGAGAAAAUCUUGUUGUGGAUAUUUGGGUUAAAAAUGGUUAAUAAGAAAAAAUUGAAAAAAAAAAUAAGAGAAGAACUUGAUGUUUUAAUAUAUUUUUUAGUCAAGUAGAAUUCUUAACAAACUUAAGUACAGUCUAGCGGUAAGAUUGUCAUAUUUAAACUUGGAGACCCAGGUUCGAAUCUUAGCUACACCAUUCUUGACAUUUUGUUGAAAAAUUUAAAAAACCGCCGGUUCACGGUUCUUAACGGUUCGCACGGUUCGUCCGGUUCGUCCGGGUUUCAACGGUUCUCCAUGAACUUCCGGCUUUAACAUUAGACCGGACCGUUGACAUGGCCGGUUCGCGGUCCAACCGGUCGAACCGGCCGGUCCGGUCCGGUUCUGAAAACAUUGAAUAUUUGUAAGUGUUUCAUAAACCACUAUGUGUGACAUGUAUAGUAUUUGUACUUGUACUUGUACUCUUUUUUAUUUUUUUUUUAUCAAGGAACUAAAUGGCCAAAUGGGGUAAUAAAUUUCGUAACCACAAAAUGAGGGAUGUACGAUGGAGAUGACCCAUUUAACAAAUGGUUACUAGGAAACCAACAAUUAUUGCAAGUUCAUUUUCAUUUAUGACAUCAUGAAUUAAAAGGAAUCUUUUUGUUCUUGUUGUAUUAUCAGAAAAGGGGCAGCAUCUUAUCAAGAGUGUAAGUGAUAAUCGAGAAUUUGCCAAGGAGACCCGGAAAAGUUUAGAUUCUCUAGAUAGGAUAUUAUUUUCUUUUCGAAUUUCAUCAAUUGACUGAUGAGAAAAGAAGCCCCUUCUCCCCUCCUUCCCUCUUCCUUCUCUUUAGAAAAAACUCUCUAAUUAAAACUUCUUUCAACUCUUCCAUGGCAGAGAAAUCAAAUUUUUUUUAUCUUUCCCAUGGGAGGAACUCUCUCUAUAUAUAUAUUUUUUCAUUUGUGUGAAUAAAAUCUCUCUUAGGAUUUCUAGUGAAAGUUUCUUUUCUCCUUAGGGUUGUCUAGCGAGAGUUUUCUUCUCUCCUAAAUUUUUUAGUGAGAGUUUUAUUCUCUCAUAGGGAUUCCUAUUAAGAGUUUUUGAUAAUUUUUUCAAUUUUCUUUUAUUAGAUUUGAGUUUUUUCAAAUUUUGAUUAUCAAAUAUAGAAUUUCUUGGAUCUAUUCGACAGAUCUCAUUAUAAUCUUUGGACUUGAAGCAGUUAAUUAGUAGAUCUAGCGAUUAGAAGCACGAACAAAUGUCCAUGAAGUUACAAUUAUUUUAUCUCAUUUUUCAAAUUUGGAACUUUAUAAUGUAAUUUCUGCCAUUAGUGCAGAUUUUAAUAAAAUUAUGAUAUUUUAUAAAAAAAAAAUAGGAUAACAUCCCGCAUUUUGACAAGUACGUACUAUUAUAUUCAAGUUAGUAAGGACCCUUAAGGAUUAGACACUUAUAAGGAUUAUCCUAGUGUUAUAUACACUGUAAUUUGUAGAGUUAUAGACAAAAAUAAAUAUCUAAAAUAUUAUUCUUUAUUGUCUGAAAAUUCUAAAAAACUGCAUGAGUUGGUGAAUACACCUAAAAUCAAGGAAAAGGGAAAGUGAAUAAGUUUGGAAAAUUAAAGAUUGAGAAUUCAGGGGGGAAAAAUAUGGGAUUAGAUAUACUUAUAGACAUGAGGCAUAUAUAGUGACGAUAUUAAUUUUGUUGCAGCACAUUAUGUCACCUGCUAUCAUUUUUAUUUCUUUUUCAUCGCCAUACAUAACAUUGAUUUUGUGAUUCUUGAAUACAAAUGUAUGAUGUCUAUGUGUAAGUUGGCUUGUAAAUAUGGUCUAUCUAAUAUGCUUUACUGUUGAGUUUGACAAUACAAGAAACCUUUGAACAAAUCGUUCUAAUCAUCCCUGUCUUCCUUACAUAUUAUCUUCGGAUUCGACAAAUUUUAGAAAAGGGUGUUAUUAUUUAUGUGAUCCAAUGUUGUGACAUUGUUGAAAGUAUAUAUAGAAGUUGCCCUGCAAAGAUAAUGGUUAGAAUUCAUAAAAUCCUAACAAUCUAAAAAUUAAAUUACAAGUUAAAAUCCUAUCAAAUUUAAAUUUAAAUUACUAAUCAAAUAAAUUGAUAUAACUUAUCAUAUAAGAUGUUAAAAUUAAAAUUUAAAAACUAACUAAUUUCCAAUAUUCCCACUCAAGUUGGAGAGCUUACGCUUGUAGCUUCCAAAUUGAAUACCAAAUUUUGAAAUGCAUGAUGACUGAUCAUUUUGAAUCUCUUCAGGUCAUCAAUUCUUGAUAUUAUUUCAAAAUAAGGAGAAUUGAUUACAGUGAAAAAGUCACACACCCUCAAACGAAAAUACUUUGAUGGGAAUAGAACCCAUAAUAUGAUCCAUUAAUUGAAAUGGCAUAUAACCUAUUGAAAAUAUUGUAAACAGGAAUAACUACCUUGCUAAAUUAAAAAUGAACAUCCUCCAACAAAGUGAUUAAAUGUACACCCUCAAGAAAGACGAGCAAGAUUACAUCCAUAAAAAAGAUGGGGAACACCAUUAGAAAAAAAGAUAACCUUCCUUGACAUAAAUUGAAAAGAGAAAAAUUGCCAAAUUAAGAUUCCCAUGAAAGAAAUUGAAAAACCAUCAAGGGAGGAUAACCAUUUUGCUAUAGCUUUCCUACACCAUAGUCGUUGAGAAAGGUGAUGGCUGUAUCAAAUUAUCACUCUUUUUAUUCCAUUGCAGCAUUUAUUUCCUCCUUUCUCAUGAUACUGACGUUAUUUACUUUAGAAAAGAAUAAAAGAAAGGAAGAAAGCUCUUGCUAAUAUUCUUUAUGAAUAAUGCCUUUUCCAUCAAAUACAUAUUUGUCACUAGAUUCCCAUUUUCCAAGCAAGGGCAUAUAGGGCAUUUAAGUGUUAAAGUAUUGCCUAUAAAUACAAGGGAUGAGGUAAGUUCUUUCUUGUGCAAAACCUAGUUUCGACAACUACAACCAGUUAUAAAAUUCCAUUAUCUCCGUUAGUAGCUAGCUAGCUCUCCAAGGGAAAAAUGACUGAAGUCAUAGCCAACUACAACAUCAGCGUGAACGAAUUCGCAGCCAACAGUAAUCUUCUAUUCUCUCAAAAUUCGCACAUCAGUUUUGUAUUUUGAAUGCAUGUGCAUAUAUUUCUUUCACAAAUUCCUUUUUUCUUUGGUUCAAUAACAACUGGUAAGUAUUUUAUUUUCCUGGAAUUGAAAUGAGUUUUUGUUUCUUGAUGGAAAUCAGUGGCUGUGGAGGGAUUCCAAUCAGCUGAAGUGGAAGCUAUAAUGAAGGCAGUUGGAGAAAACAAGACAUGGAACGCAAUUGAAGGACUCAGUGACACGGUGAAUAAUGAUCAUAUUCCUUUAAUGAAAUUUUUCAUUCUUUCUUGGGCGCGUAGUUUUUGACUUGUUUCUGCAAUAGUUUUGCGGAUUUGAAUCAAAUCAAAGGCGCCCUUCAACUUGUUCCCGGGUUUUAUAUGCGUACUAGCAUUUGUAAAUAUAUGGUUAACUUGUACGAGUCAGUCCUUAAAAGUUUUUAUACCUUAGAAUACCCCGAAAUACAGCGUAUACUUUAUGUAUUUUGAGAUUUGUCUUAGCUAACUAAAAAUUUGGUAUACAGUUUAUAUAGGAUGGUAGAUCUUUUAUUUGAAAAGAAAGAAAGGAUUUAAAUAAUUUAUCAACUUGCACAGAAACUCUUGGGAAAAGUAAAAGGAGUUGCUAUUGAAAGUCUUGAGCACAUUUUUGAAUUGGUUUAAGCAAUUAAAACUUUUUAUUCAUCUUGUCUACUUUCUUGAAUUGCUUGAUUAACCUUCUCCCCGAGUAAUGUUAUUUCUUACUAAUUGGUCUGAUCAACUUAGUUUUUGGCUACUUUUCUAAUGGAUUUGGAUUAAUUCUGGGAACUCAAUUAUUUGGGGUUUACAGAAUGCCAACCUCCGAGGUUUAUGUGGUACUACGACUGCACAAAAUGUGGACAAGACAGUCCCUCCUGAUGUUCAAGAGAUGGCAGAAUUUGCAGUGGCAGAGUACAACAGGAUAGCUGGGACCAAGCUGGUUUUGAUAAAAGUGCUUGCCUAUGUCAAGCUGGUUGUAGUUUUUGGCACUUUCUACGGGCUUCACAUGUUAACUCAGGAUGACAAGGGCACAUAUAAAGAUCAAGCACUAACCUUGAAAUUGAACAAUGGCAUGAAGGUACUCCUGUGGUACAAACAUAAUUAACAUUAAUCAACAGCUGCUCAUGAAUUGAGAAUGAUCAACGUACUUUGCUAAGUACUUUAAUUAUCUGGUGUCUGUAUGUGGUUUGAGUAUUAUGUGUGUAUGUUCAAAAGGAUGGAUGUACCGCUGAGGCACAUCUCCCUAGUACUGUACUGAAUCUCGAAGGUGCGCUUGUACCAAGAAUGCACCAUUACAUAAAUAAAACCAGCUGUGUGUGUUUGAGUUCAUAUAUUACACUUCGUUCGCCUAUUCACUUCCCAACAGUCUAAGAGUAAUUGAAAACUCUUGAAACCUGACUACAUGUUUUGUGUGAGUAUCUGUUUCCUGUACCAUACCUUUAUUCCUCAAAACCUUGCAGUAUGUCAAAACGCCGACUUACACCAAGUCGAAUUAUGUUGUUGGUUCCUUUGAAAUCACAAGCAACGCCCAAAAUAUGCUAACGUAUUGAGACAUUCACAUGAAUGAGAGUUCCUGUGAUGUUUGCUUGAAGUUGUAGUCUG